rnacentral:lncRNA from 1 species
UGCCGGUUCUUCCCCUUCGAGGGUAAGGGAAAUUGCUCGAUCCCCCAAGAAUUUGACGCGCCAAUUGAGGUUUCGAGUCAGGCUCACCUAAAUCAUUGUAGACAUCGUAAUCAUAUAUUCUUUCCCAUUCCUUGCGCUCUCCUGUUCCAUCUCCUCUUAAAGUCUUCAAUUCUUCUUGUCUAUAGUACACUAAUGGAGCUGGUGUUUCACUUGGAAGGUAUGUCUAUAUUUUAAAUCAUAUGAAGGUGUCAGAUUUUGGGAACUAUAGUUUAUAUUUAACAUGCAAGAUAAAUAUGGUAUAUUCAUUACCUUGUUGGCAAAGAAGAUGCGUUCAGUUUUGUAGUUUUGAGCAUUGUAAAUCCAUGAGUUGCAAACAAAGUUGAUGGUUCCAUGGUUGGGAACAUCUUCAAGGGUCAAACUUACAAGAAAGAAUUCUCUUUGCUUGCGAUUCUUAAUAUAAAAUGCUCCUGGAAUUCCCAUGUCACUAUCCCAUUUAAAAUGAACAUCAAAUUCAGAUUGCCCUGCUACAUUCAAAGACGUUUCUUUUCCGACUUUACCUUUUCCACUUUCUACAAAUAAAAUAUGUCACAAUUUUGUUUUUCAAUUUCAGUAAAGGUUUAUAAAAAAAAAAAAUCAGUUAUGAUAAUUCUCAAAUGAAAAAUUAUAGCUAUUAAAAAUCUAAUUCUUUUUAUAAAAAAUUAACAAAUACUUGUAAGACAAUUUUUUAAAGAAAUUAUAAUAAUAAAAAAUGAAGAACAUGUGUAAUAUUUUAUCAAAAUUUUGUAAAAAAAAUAGUAAAAUCUAUCUUUGAAACACAUGUUUAUAUUUGACGUUCUCUAAACAUAGAAACCAAUUGUGAGUUUAAAAUAUGAGAACUUUUACUGUAUACUUGCAAAUUAUGUUUGUAGACAGUAGUGUGAGAGACUAAGUAAUUAUAAGCAAAAAAAAAUAAGUAAUUACCAUCAGCACUAGUAGAACUAAUCAACCUGAGAUCCACGGAACUGGCCAUAAUAUAGGUGUCAAUUAUAUAGCUAAUGAUACCAUGAACAAGAUUGAUAACACCUUUGAUUAAACCAGCGGGACUUGUAGCUGAAGUGAGGGAGUCUAUAUCAAACACAUUCUUUUGCAUCAAUAUCACUGUCCCCUUCACCAUUUGGCUUCUGUGAAAUGGAUUUGGAAACAUCUUUGCAACUUUGUGCACUUUCUGCUUUUCUGACAAAUGAAAGAAAACCUAGUGGCUUGCAAGUUUCUAUUCUAAUUUUGUUUACACUCUCACUCUUACUAUAUAUAUAUAUAUAUAUAUAUAUAUAUAUAGUAAGUCUUGCAAAUCAUGGGGGCUGCAUCCAGCACGUCAACGACCUAGGUCAAUACAGCAAGGUAAUUAAAAUCAAACCAGUCGGUUGAAACGGUACCUUUGAGUUUGGUUGGAUAUUGCUUUUCCUCUAGUUAAUAAUACUAGUUUGGUUCCUCUAGUUAACAUCUGUACCAAAAAAAAAAAUAUUUGUUUAACAUUUAAAUUAUUUUAAAAUAAAUUAAUAUAAAAAUAUUACAUGACAUUGAUUGAUUGGAUGAUGAGUAUAUAUCUAUUAAAAAUUGUAUAGGUGAUAGAGUGUUGAGUAGUUGAGAAUUAAUGAAGUAACGAUAUCAUAAGUAUAAAAGGCAAAAGGAUAAAAAUUGCGAGUAAAAUAAUAGUUUGGUUUAUUGUGUGUCAAUCAAAAUUUACACGUGAACUUAUAGAUAAGGUGACAUAACAUGUAAUUCUAUGUCAUGUUAAAAUUGAGAUUUUGCUUUAGAUCGAAAGAGAUCAGCAAAAUCGACAAUCGUUAAAUCGCAAUUAAAAUUGAUGGAUUUUAUCAAAAAUAUAAUAUUAAAUAUAUUUUAUAAAUGGUAUAUAGUGAUAAAUGACUUAGAUUAUAAUAAAUUGUAAGACCGCAAUCAAAAUCGUUGAAUUUUUCUUAUUUUAGAAUUAUACUAUGGGUUUGAGUCGUUAAAGAUGAAAAAAGUCACAAAAUCUUAAAUUUUAAGAUUUAAGUCGGUAUUUUAACAAGUCUUAACAUCAUGGCUUGCAAAUUCAACAUUGAUUGUUGUUAGAGUAAAUUACACUCCCCUCCCCUCAAAGAUGCUUGAAUUACAUUCCCCUCCCCUCUUAAGUUAAAAUAUACAAUCCCCUCCCCUCUUAUUCAAAACAUAUUAGAGAAAAUUUCACUCCCCUCCCCUAAGAGAAGCUUGAAUUACAUCCCCCUCCCCUCUUAUGUUAAAAUCUACACUUUACCCCCUCAAUAUUCUUUUUUAUUAUUUCUAAUAAUCUAGCAAAAAAUAAUAAUUUAACACACUUAAAAAAAUAGUAUUGCGAGUCUGUUUUAAUAUAAUAAAAAGUUGAAUACAUAUUUUUCGCUAUUUUUUAUUCACAAUUUCAUUAACAUGUAGUUUUAAACCCUAUUAUAAAAUAUUAAACAACCCAAAACAAAAUUAAAAUAUGUGAAAAAUUACUAAAAUCAUUAAGGCAUGAUUAUUUAGAAGUUAAUUUUAUACUCAGAUUUAUAAAAUCAAUAGCAAUAUAUUUAAAUUUAAUUAUCAUUGACAUUUAAACUAUAAAGAAAUGAAUUAAUUUUUCUUAAAUGGUGAUUCAAAAUUAAUAUAUAUUAUAAGAAUAUUUAAUUAUGUUCAAAUAGAUUAAAGUGUAGUGCAUAUUUAAUUAUUAAGGGAAUGGUUUGUAAUUCAAGCAUCUUAUAAGGGAGGGGAGUAUAAAUUUUAACAUUAGAAAAAAAUAUUGAGGGAGUAAAAUGUAUAUUUUAACUUAAGAGGGGAGGGGAGUGUAAUUCAAGCAUCUUUGAGGGGAGGGGAGUGUAAUUUUUUAUUGUUUUGUAUUGAUCCACAUGUUUAUUUAGAUGUAUCAUUUUUCCUAACAAAUCCAAAUGUUUAUAUUCAAGAUCAAAGCUAAUGUAUUAAAAACAAAAAAUAUCAAUUAUUGCUGGUCCUACCACGGUUUAAUGUCAAUAACUUAGUUUAGAAAUCACACUUGAAACCCAUUCAAUGUUAUCCACCACUAUAGUCCUUGUAUGAAAAUGCAUUUUCACAUCUACAUUUUCCCAUGGUAUGAAUGGGGAGACUUGGAGAUCAUCAUCAAGCAUUGACUCAAACACAAGGCUUGCACUGUUGGAGAAAAAUGCUAUUAUUAUCCUAAAUUAUUGUUAGUAAUUAUUCAUAUUACGCAGAUUGAUAUCCAAUCCCUCAACUUCAUUCACACACACACACAUAUAUAUAUAUAUGCACCAUGAAGUACACACCUCUCUAAGUGUGUCACGGUGUCCGACACCAGUGCCGGAGCCAGAAAAAAAUGUUUGGGUGGGCCGCUAAAAUAAACUAUAAACAAUAAUAUGUAAACAUAAAAUUAAAGUACUAAUAAGCAUUAAGCUUGAAGUUGAAAUUGCAAAGUUUGACUAAAAAGCUCGGGUGAAUGCUUUAAAAAAACAAAUUACAUAUUACUAAUGCUAUAAAUUAUGAUUUUUUUAUUUAUUUUAUAAUACAACUCUUAAUUGGAGGAAUUUUUUACAAAACAAUAUAAAAGAGAUUUGAAACCACCAAAAAUUAAAAGGUCUGUAAACCUCCGUUAACUAGCCAAGUAUAAGCAUAAAAAAAAAAAUCACAUAUGUCACUUUUGGAACCACCGAAAAUCUAAACGGUUGAAAAAUUGUUUAAAAUCUCGCAAAGCUGACUUAUGAUCGUCGAUUUUUUACUUUUUCCGGGUGGGCUGUGGCCUACCCCGGCCCUUAAAGGGCUCCGCCUCUAUCCGACACACGUCGAUAUUUGACAUUCAUAUGACACUCAUAUACAACACAUGUUGAACCAACUCAGUCUAGUGUCCCAAAAAUUAAUCAUUAUUUUAUUUUCUUCGACACACCUUGAACAUAUUUCUAAGGGUAUCUACAAGAUUAAAGAUGUGUGAAAUCAAUAUUGAUCAAUGAGGUGGUUAAAGAAAUUAAUAUUUUUAACAAAAUUUUAAUAUUUUUUGUUAAAGAAAUACAUUGCUCAAUUUACAUGUAUAUAUUUUGAUUCUCGCUUUAGCUAUUUUAUAAAUAAUACUAAUAUAUGAUUUGAUUAUAAGAAAUUAAUAAAUAUAUAUGUUGCGAUGCCAAAGUCUUAUGUUUUUUAAUUUUUACAUUGACGAUAUUAAUAUAUCCGUGUCAAUGUCAUGUGUCAAGUGUUCAUGUCGGAAUACAUGUCAUAAAGAGUGUGUGUAUAUAUAAUUCAAGAUCUUUAUUCAUAUAAGAUUUGCCGCGUUGUAGUUUUAGUUACUUCUUAGUUAAGUUUACUUGUUUGACUCAUAAGUUUAUUAUUAGUUGUUGAGGUAUGAAUUAUAUGUUAGUAUAUCAACUGUGAGUAAGAGUUCCAUAUUAAAAAGUGUAUGAUGAACGUAUUAUAAUUGAGAUGAUCUCUAAUUUUAAUGUCUUCAAAUUUUGGGUUAAAGUAUGUUGUCAACCACACAUGUAUCGAAAAUUUGCACUCCAAUUCUAUGAUAAAUGCUCAUCUUUCAUAAUCGACCAAUAUUCAUUCAUGUUAACUGUAUAUGUCAUCAUUCACAUUAUAAAUUUUCACUCAACUACUCCUUAGCUUGCCAGCGAACAUCUCUUCCAUGUCAGAAACCCAUCAAUAGCAGUUACACACCUAUAGAUAAGAUCCAUUAACCAAUAUCCAUGACAUUCAUACAUACUUAGUAAUUAAGAUUUAAGACCAUUGCAUUAUAGCAAUAGACAUAAGUCAGCAAUUCAAAUAAAGGUUAUAACCACAUUAUUGUACGUAAGUAACAUAACUAAGUGCAUGCUUGAUAUGCAGUGAAAUUGAAAGCAGACAAGAAAAUGCAGCAAUGAUAGGUUGACACUCUUAGGGUGUGUUUGGUUGUGGAGAGAGAGAAAGUGAUAAGAGAGAAGUAGGUGAGAGAGUUUGAGAAGAGAGAAAGAUGUGAGAAAUAAAGAUAGUGUUUGGUAUAAAAGAAAGAGAUAAGAAAUUGAGAAGAGAGAAGUGUUGAUUAUUUUUAAAAGUACAAAAAUACCCCUUAAAAUAAAAAUCUUUUCCUAAAACUACUCUAUUUUAUAUUUAAUUAAAUUUAUGAAUUGAUUAGUUUAAUUAGUUAUCUGGGUUAUUUUACUAAUAAUAAUAACAAGGUAAGUUAAUUAAUUUAAUUAUUAUUUAAAUAAGCCUAUUGUGAAAAAGAAAGAAAGAAUCACGUGACAACAUUGCAUAAAAGACAAAAAAAAUGUGUUGUUCUCUUAAAUUAAAGGGCAUAAAAGACAAAAUUAAAGCAACAAAAGAGUAACUUCUCUUCCGUUUCUUCGCUAAUUAGGGGAGAACAAAAAAUGCAUGGGACCCACCAAUUUUGUCCCUCUUCUCUCUUUCUCACCUUUGUCAAACUAGAGAAAUGCCACACUUCUCUCCUCUUUCUCUCCUUAGUCUCUCUCUUCUACAUUUCUCCACUACUAAAGAGAGUUUUAAUGUAUACACUCUUUUGCAUUACUUUAAAAAAAUUAAAGUUAACCAAAUAUAUAGUUUAUGUGACCACGUUUUUUUAGUUACGUGGCCACUAUUUUUAUGACAUACAUGCUCAUAAUAUAUUACUCAUGUUUAAUUAAACUAAAUAGAUCUUUUUUGGGACUAAAUAGAUCUUAUAUCUUAUAUCAUAAGCAAACACUUGGAUUUUUCCACUGUAGGGCCCACAUGGUACUUAAGCAAUUGCCAAGUCAAAAUAUAUAUGUUUACUUAAACUAAAUAAAUCUUAUCUCUUACCACUAUCGGGCCCACAUGGUACUUAACGCAAUUGCCAAGUCUUUGAUGCAUCCCCUCAAAAACAAUCUUGAUGCAUUAAAUGGAUGCUUGUAUUUUUUCCUUUUAUAGAAAAACAAAGUCUUAAAUUAAUUGGCACCACGCAGAAAGUUUGGAAAGCUCUUGACACACAAUCAUUUUGGGUUCUUGACGUUUGGUAGAAUAGGAGUGCAUGACAUAGCAACUGUGAAAUCAUUGGUAUAACUUUUAGGUGGCCAGAUAAUAUAAAAAACUAAACUUGAUCAUAAGCAAACACUUUCACAAUAAUUUUUACUUCCAUAAAAAAAGGUUUGAACAGCCUUUGAAUCAAUGACUUCUAAGAUGUAAAUCGAUGCCUAUUAUUCGUUGAACUUUGAAGGAACCAACGGGUAGCACUUGGAUGACAUAGAGUUGGGUGACAUUGACCAAUCACAAUGUCAUAAUGCUUGUGUUUCUCUCUCUUUCACAAGUAUUGUGACAUUAUAAUUGACUAAUGUCACUAAUGUCAUCCAACUCUAUAUCACCCAAAUACUAUCCUGAAACCAACCUUGUGAGUGAAGCUGAGUGAAAAAAAUAUUAAACUUUAUGAUAAGCAAACACACGUUCAAAAUAUAUUUUUUACCUCUCCUUCCAAUUUAUUUACUUUUUUUUACUUUAUCAUAUGGAGCUUUUGUUAAGUACAAGGUGGGUCCUAUAUAUUAUUCGAGUGAUGGGAGUGGUGUAAAAUUGGUCUUCUAUCAACUAGAUCACUCCCAUACAAACUGACGAAAAUAUCUCUAACGUAACUUAAAUCAAUCUGAAAGGGAGCGUGAGUUAACUCACACUGGGCUUGCGUUCAGGACCAGAACAUCAUAAACAUCUUUUUCAAUAAUUUUCUUCAUUCCUUCAUUCAUACAUACAUCCAUUUCUGUCAAAAAUACAUGUUUUCAUCAUUCAUUUAAUGAUUCAUUCAUUCACUCAUAAUUUAAAUAAAAAAAAUAAACGAAAAUUAACAAAAAUGUCAUAAAAAAACGCAAACGCGCAAAUGUAAAUAUAUAUUGCAUCCAUAUCUACCAAAGUGUAAAAAAUACAUCUAAAUAUACACAAAUGUUAGGAAAACACUAUAUAUAAAAAAAAAAUCUACUCCUAUGGACUAUGGCUCCUAGUCCUCCGCGGAACCGGCUCCUCCUGAAGCAUGCGAUACUCCGACCAGAUUCCCUCCAUAAUUUCAUCAUUAAAAAUGCUAAAAACAAACAUAUUUUCAUGUGUUAAAUAUGUCUUUAGUCCUUACAUUUUGCGCCCCUUUGAAGAAUAGUUCCUACAUUUCAUUAAAUGUUUUUAAAAUCCUCACAUUUUCUCUCUGUUAUCAAAAUUAGUCCUUGCUGUUAAUUCUCCAACGGAAUGCUGAUGUGGCAGUUAGUGGGUCCCAAUUAUUUUAAGGUUAAAUAUGUUUUUUGUCUGUACAUUUUGCGUGACUUUGAAAAUUAGUUUUUACAUUUCAAUAAAUGUUUUUAAAAUCCCUAAAAUAAUAAGGACUAUUCUUCAAAGUCACGCAAAAUGUAGGGACCAAAAACAUAAUUAACCUUAAAAUAAUUGGGACCCAGUAACUACCACAUCAACAUUCUAUUAGAGAAUCAACAACAAGGACUAAUUUUGAUAACGGAGAUAAAAUGUGAGGAUUUUAAAAACAUUUAAUGAAAUGUAAGGACUAUUCUUCAAAGUCACGCAAAAUGUAGGGACGAAAAACAUAAUUAUCCCUAAAAUAAUUGGGACCCAUUAACUGCCACAUCAGCAUUCCGUUAGAGAAUUAACAAUAGGGACUAAUUUUGAUAACGGAAAUAAAAUGUGAGGAUUUUAAAAACAUUUAAUGAAAUGUAAGGACUAUUCUUCAAAGGGAAGCAAAAUGUAAGCACUAAAAACACAUUUAACCCUAUUUUGAUUGAGACAUUUUAUCAAACACCUAGAGUUCAACAUAAUUUCUAACAAUUCCUAACUCUAACCUAACUCUAACGUACCAUAUUUCAAUCAAACCUACUCUAAUCAACUUCUAAAAAACAAUUUAUAACUUAAUUUAUCAUUAACAAUAAAAAUAUCAAACAUGCAAAUCAACUCUAAAACUUAAAAUUUCACAAUUUCAUCCAAAAAAAAAAAAACUAACAUUUAAACCCAAAAAACCCAAUGCAAAAGGUUAGAUAGCACUUGUGAUGGAAGUAGAAUUUGAUAUUGAUUUGAUUGAGUUCGGUGAAAAUCGCACAAAGUGGGAGAAAUUUCAUAAAAAAUGAGUUUGAAACACAAUGGUUAUAUUUUUGUCUGUUGUCGUUCUAUAAUAACACGCAAUGUGAGUUAAGUCACGCUGGGUUACAACGUAUGUGAGUUAAUUCAUGUUGAAUGUACCGGGCGUGACUUAUGUCACGAACGUGGGGGUACUUUCGUCCAUUCAGUUGGGAGCGAGUAUUUAUUGAUGGGAGAAGAGCAAUUUUCUAAAAACUUUGGGUGUGGUGGAAGAUUCUAAGUGAGGGUUGUAUGUUCUGUUAUGUUAAAAUAACGGAUAACUGAUAAGUUUGCUGAUAGCUGAUAGUUUAUAGCUGAUAGAUGUUGGUUGAUGGCUGAUAACUUAUAGUUUAUAGUUAAUGACUAUUGACUGAUGUUGAUAAGCUAGUUAAAGUGUGCUAAAAUUAACGGUUCAAUUAACUGAUAAAUAUAAAUUGACAUAAAAUGAAUUUUUUUUAUUCAUAAUACUUUUUUGAGAGGACCAAAGCCCAAUUUAAUUGAAAAAUUUAAUAAUUAGAAUUUAUAAAAAAAAAAAUCUGAAAAUAAAAUGUUUACUAGACUUUCCACCCGUGCUGCCGCACGGGUCAUAUACAUUGUAGAUAUAGUAGACAAAAACAAAUCUCAAUGCAUAUCAAAGAGAAUGAAAUAUGUGGUCCCAAAUAUAUGCAGAUGUUGGAAUUCGAACCUCAGACACCACGCUUAUUCACCAAAAAAAUAUUAAUUUUUAUCAAUCGUGUGUUACUUCAUUCCUUUGUUAAAAUUAUAUGUCAAUAUUAUAUUAUUGGUAUGUUACUUCAUAUUUUUCUUUUUUUUUUUGAAAAAAUGUUACUUCAUUCUUUUGUAAAAAUUAUAUGUUAAUGUUAUAUUAUGUACCUAAAAAUAGUUCAUUCUUAACCUCAACAUGUAAAAUGUUUUAUUUAAAUAAUUUUCCUUUUAUCGAAUAUUUGGCCUUUACCGUAAAUGAUACCCUUUAACUGUUUGUUGAAAUGUUUCUUCCACCUGUUUAUAUAGAUUGCAAAAUUCAGGUGCAUUUUGUGGUAAAUAUUUAACAAAGAGAGUUCAAUUCUAAUUUGGAUGAAAAGUGUAAUAUUAACAAAAAAAAAUGUUGCUAUAAUCUUUCAAAACCCUUUUAUUCCAAUAGGGCGAUUUGUUUUGUUGAAGAAAUAGGGCGAUUUGUGUUUUGAAGAAAUAGGGGAAAUAAAGCGAUGCCGAUUUGCUUUGUUCAUGAAAAUAGGAGAUUAGGUGUGAGCAUUAGCGUUGUUCAUGAAAAUAGAAGAUUAGGUGUGAGCAUUAGGGUUAAAACGGUAAAAUUAUGCAACAGGGUUUAGGUUAAAAUUAGGGCUCAUGAAAAUAUGAGAUUAGGUGUGAGCAUUAGGGUUGUUCAUGAAAAUAUAAGAUUAGGUGUGAGCAUUAGGGUUAAAACGGUAAAAUUAUGCAACAGGGUUUAGGUUAAAAUUAGGGCGCAUGAAAAUAUGAGAUUAGGUGUGAGCAUUAGGGUUGUUCAUGAAAAUAUAAGAUUAGGUGUGAGCAUUAGGGUUAAAACGGUAAAAUUAUGAAAUAUGAUUUAGGUUAAAAUUAGGGCUUACGGGUUACCUUUAAUAUAUAAGAAGAUUAGGUGAGAGCAAUAGGAUUGUUCAUGAAAAUAGGAGAUUAGGUGUGAACAUUAGAGUUAAAACAGUAAAAUUAUGCAAUAGAGUUUAGGUUAAAAUUAGGGCUUACUUGUUAACUUUAAUAUAUAACUUUAAUAUAUAAGAAGAUAAGCCCUUAACUUUGCCAAAUCCCCAAAUUGAUUCAACCAAAUUCUUCCUCCCCAAAUUGAAUCAUCAUGCAUCAUUCCUUCAUUAUAUGUCAAUUAACCGGUUGGUAUGAAGUAGAAAAUCGAGCGAUGUUGCAUUAUUUCAUUUACCGAUACAUGCUUAAGCAAAGACCAAGAAAAGAGAACAUGGCAAUAGAGAUGGAAUGGUUCAUUACCUUUUUAGAUUGAAGAAUGGAUUGGGGAGUUACGAUUUUUUUAAAGAGAAAACUAGUUACAAACCCGUGCUUCGCACGGGUUCAAUAACGUUUUUGAUAAAAAAAAAUCGAAAGAAGAUAUGUUAAAACGACGGAACAUUAUGAUUCAUCAUAAAAUAUGUAUGGACUGGUUCCAAAGCAUUAUAAAGAUCUGCUGUAGAAAAAGGGCAUGUUCUAUUUUGUUCAAAAGAUUAUGAAAACAACAUUAUAAUUAACAUGAUACUAAUUUGAACCAAUGAAGAAACCAACAAUGUGCAGAUUAACGUUACAUAAUAGUUAGGUUUAUAAAAGAGACUCCAAGUGUCAAAGACUAACUAAAAAGAGAUUUUUGCCAAUAUUUACUUCAGACAAAAUGAAAAGAACAAAUGACAUCCCAAAGUCAAAAUAGUUUACGAUUACAGACCAAAGCGAUACGUCAAAAUAGUAGAAGUUCAAAUAGUUCAGCAGCAAAUAUCUACUUUAGAACAACUCGAACGUGCAAGUUCUUCGGUGACUUUUCGAGACCAAAUAUGAGCUUACCACCUUCUAUCAUCACACGUUCUCUGCAGAAAUUGAUCCAUAGCCCACCCAAGUAUUUUUCAUAGCUUGCUCUUUCGGCGGUAAUGAGGCGACACUUAUACUUUCUCUGUAUGCGAAUAUAGUUACAUAUAAUUUAUAAAAUAAAGGUAGCUUAACUGAUUUAAGCUAAAGAAAAUGUAUCAUGACUUCUAAUUUAUCUUCCUAUAAAGUCUAGAUAAAUACAUGUAUGUGCAUUAUAUGAACCCCGUUGACCAAUUAACAUUGUUGAAACAAAUGGAAAUUAAGCAUCACUCCCGCAUGUGCAUCUAUAGCUAGCACCAUUUGACAUUGAUGUCUUCGAACAUUUGGUGCAACUCUUAUAAUACCAUCCAAACUGGUUAGGAUUGAAUUUAGUUGUUUUCCAAAUAGUGAUGAAGUAUGUAUCCUAACCCAAAUUAUGCACAUGAAAUAAAGAAUAAUGCAAUAUGUAUUUUUAACUUGUGCAUCAAAAAACUCAAAGCAUGUUCGUGCAUAAAAAAAGCAGACCAUGACUAAGUUUAUAAAUUCAGUAAUUGGCCUAACCUGAGGCAGAUUGAAAAAAUCGUUGUACAAAGUACGUUGAGAAGAAGCCGAACUCUAACUUAAGUUAUGACUGAUACUUUGACUCUGAGCUUGAGAAGUGUUAAGGUCACGACAACAAUUCAAGAAACAUGGUCAAAAAACAAUCAAAUCAAAUUGUGAAAUAAUAAGUUACUCUAAUACUAUAUUUUGAAAUCAUAAUGCAAACUUACUAAGUCUUAAACUUCUCAACAACCGGAUAAUGUAGGUUGAUGAGCAGCCUCGAACCUGACCAAUUGUUACAUAUAUUUGGGUUGCCAAUGACUACAAAAUGGAAGAACUCAAGGUAAAUAGAUGGUAAAUGAUCAAGCUACAGAGUAUUUUUCCCAUAGUGUUACAUCAACUAUAUUCCCACUGCAUAAGGAAAGACAUCUUUCAGGUCAUUAUCAAACUUAUACAAAAUUCUAUCAUCUGACGUUGACAAAUUAGAAAAUAAUACCUUUUAUCUUUCAACACAAUGUUCGUACACGGUUUCUUUCUAGUCCCAAUUGGUGUUGUCUUGACAAUCUCAUGAAGAAGCCCGAUGAUUUCUUAAAAAAAAAUUACAUCUAUAAUAAUAUUAUAAUCGGAGAAAACAAAGAAAUAAAUUAAAGCACAUAACUAUAUCAUAUAAAAUGUCAGAUUUGAAUUUUCCAUCUUGAAUUUCCUUAAAUGACUUAAAACGAAAUUCAUGAGUAAGAACGUUAGUUAACUUGUCAUACUUCUGCACCUUUGUAUCAGAACCAAAAACAACCCUAAAGAGAUUAAAUACAAUGUCCUUAUCAAACACAUGACAAUUAUACAAAGUAUAAGUCUUGUUUUCCUCGAUCAAAGCCUUUCAAUGCUCCAAUUCUCUAUACCGAGUUAUUACAUGAACUCGAUCACCCUAAAUUCGAGAAAGAAACCAAAAAAUGUAAAUAAAUCAAAAUGUACACUAAUAAGUAACAUUGAUAAAUCAUAAAGGAAAUUACAACAAAUCUUAACUAACUCAUCUAAUCUUUGCAUCACAAAUAAUGAGCUUCAUAUGUUGAUUCUCAUUACUACCAUUUACAAUCCAAGAAUCCAGCACUCCAAAUCCUAUUUUCCAAAUGUCCAAAUCAUUUUUUAGAUCCUUAAUGUAGUCAUAAUCCCUUGACAUCGAAAGUCCUAUAUAAAGAUACAAUAAUACAUCAUUUAAUUUUAUUCCCUUUGUUCAUUCUGAUAUCGAAAGAAGCUAACAUAUCCUAUGUGAUCAAUUUUUGUAUCAUCAAAUCAACCUGAUCUUAAAUGCACAAAUUUCUGAAUCAUCAACUUUUUGGACGUCAAUGAUAUGACCAAAACAAAUUUCACCAAUCAACUUUUGUACGGCUCAAUCAUAUAGGAAAGAAUAAACCAAAUAUGAAAAUUGUUAUGGCUUUAUGAUUACUCACAAAAACUAAAAUAACCCACAUACAUCAAUUUUUUUUCAACCACAGUACCAGAAGCUAAAAUAACAAUUGUGUCAAAACCUUAUCAUGAGCUAAAAUUCAAUCAUCAUGAUUUAUCAAUGUUACUUAUUAGUGUACAUUUUGGUGUCUUUCAAAAAGAUAAGAAUUUAUAUUAUAUGAUAUUAUAUUUGUUACAUUGUUGGUGCCAUGGAAACAUAUAUGUUUAGUUUUUUCGAAUAAGAAGAAGAUAUGCAUAGUUUGUUAUAAUAUAAGGGUGCAAAAUAUAUAUAUAAGUAUAAUUUUUCUAGGCAUCUAGACCUUUUUUGAAGAUAAGAAUAAAAAUAAUCAUACGCAUUAUGCAACGUCAAAAAAAAUUAUACGCAGUAGCGUAACAAAAAAACAGACACAUAUAAAGUAUUACUCUAAGCGCUAAUAUGUGUGUUCGUAUAUAUUUGCGAGGUUGAAGAAAGAAAAUAAAAAUAUUUGGUAUCAUUAAAUGACAGCGUGAAUAAAAAUAUUUGUAAGGUUGUGAUGAUUAAACAAUAUUGAAUUUAAAUGUAUAAGUGAUAAAAAGAUAAUAAAAUUCCUUUGAAAAAAAAGGUAAUAAAAUUAAAUGGGACCUCCUUAAAAAAAAUUAAAUGGAACGAUUCCAAAAAAAAUUAAAUGGAAGAAAAAAUCAUAUUGAAAUAUAAUAUUAAAAAAUAAAAGAAAAGGUUCCCAGUGUGAGUUGAAAAGAUGUGCUUUUGAAAUAAAUUGUCGAGAAGUAGUUUUUUAAAGUAACAUUCAACAACUUUUGGCCAAAGCUCAUUCCAUUCAAUUUUAUGCAUUAAAAAAAAAUUACUUUUUGUAGUAAGUACUUAAUUGAUAUUGUGUUUGUGUUUGACCUAACUUCUCCUUAAAAAUGUAGAAAAGUUGGAAAAAAAGCCGGGUCAAACGAUACCUUAUUCUCCUACAACGGCAAUGUAGAAGCAACUUAAUUUUGGACAAAAAAUUGAAAAAUAGUUAAAAACAUAAAAAUUGGAAAUAAAAUAUUUGGUAUCAUUUAAUGACAGCGUGAAUAAAAAUAUUUGUGGAGUUGUGAUGAUUAAACAAUAUUGAAAUUAAAUAUAUAUGCGAUAAAAAGAUAAUAAAAUUAAAUGGAACAUUCUUAAAAAAUUAAAUGGAACGGUUCAAAAAAAAAAGUUAAAUGGAAGGAAAAAAACAUAUUGAAAUAUAAUAUUAAACAAUAAAAGAAAAGGUUCCCAGCGUGAGUUAAAAAGAGGUGCUUGUGAAAUAAAUUGUCGAGAAGUAGUUUUUUUAAAGUAACAUUGAACAAAUUUUGGCCAAAGCUCAUUCCAUUCAAUUUUAUGCAUUCAAAAAAAUACAUUUUUUUAGUAAGUAAAUAGCGUGAGUUAAAAAGAGGUGCUUGUGAAAUAAAUUAUCGAGAAGUAGUUUUUAAAGUAACAUUCAAUAAUUUUUGGCCAAAGCUCAUUCCAUUCAAUUUUAUAUUCAAAAAAAUUUCUUUUUUUUAGUAAGUAAUUAAUUGAUACUAUGUUUGACCUAACUUCUCCUUAAAAAUGUAGAAAAGUUGAAAAAAUAAAAACCGGGUCAAGCGAUACCUUAAUCUUCUACAACGACAAUGUAGAAGCAACUGAAUUUGGGAUAAAAAAUUAAAAAAUAGUUAAAGUUAUCAAAAAUAUAAAAAUUAUAAAAUAAUUAAAAAAAUUGUGAGGGGCAAAAUGGGAAAUGCACCCAUAUAAUGGUGAGGUGGCAACAACACAAUUCCACCAAUUAGAAAAUUACAAAAAUACCCCUCCUAGGGGCAAAAUGGGAAAUUUAUAGAGCAUCAACUUUAAUAGUAGUAAGUAUAUAGAUAAGAAGAUGAAUGUGCAUCAUCAUCUUAGAAUGACAAAACAAUUAUUCUUUUUCUUUUUAUGGAGGAACGAUGGAUGCUUCAAUUUGGGGAGGAAGAAGGAGGAAGGAUUUUGUGUGAAUCAAUUUGGGGAUUUUGCAAAGGUAGGGUUCUUCAAUUAUAAACAUUUUAUUUUCAGAUUUUUUUUUUUUUAUAAAUUCUAAUUAUUAAAAUUUUUAAUUUAAUUUUACUAUUAAUGAUGUGGAAAUGAUGUGUCUAAUAAUGGUAUCAUGUUAGCAAUGUAAUAUAAUGUCAUUAAUGAACGCGCUACAUCAUUCAAAAAAAAAAGGAGGACAAUAAAUUUUUGUUGACAUUUUAAAUAGGAGAUCAAAAUGUUGGUUUUAGAAAAUGGAGUAUAAAAAAUUAACAAAAUUGAGAAAUGGAACAAAAGAUAAUAAACUAUAAGUUCAAAUGUUAUUUAAAAUAGCGUCUGAAAAAUAAGUUAUAUUAGUUCGUUAUGAAAAGAGACAGAUGUCAAACAGGACUUUUUGAUCAAACGACUUAUAAGCUAUAAACUCUUCUCUAUAAGCUACCUCUUUGCCCAUAGCAAACAGACCCGUGAGUGUGGGGGGAGGAGGAUGGUUUUGUCCAAUAACACCACCAAUAGGCUUGCGGAUAAUUAUAGAUGGAGGAAGGGGGUAUGAGUAUGAUAGUUCCGGAAACACUUGGAGGGAGUAGGUAGGAAAUAGUUGGAUGCAGUAGGGAUUAGUAGAACAUGAAGAAGCAGAUGUGUUGAAUAAAGGAAGAAGGGAGAAAGCAACUAGUGAUCAAUGAUUGUGUUGAUUUAUAAUGAGAGGCUUGGAGAGAUCGAAAAGGAAAAUGAUUAACUAGUUGGUGCGCCAAAAAAAGGUAGAUGUCAGGGUGUGCUUGGAGUGGAGAUUCUUAAAAAAUGUUGCUUUGACAAUAAUAUAUAUUCUAAAUGUGAUAUAAUGGCAAAGACGAGGUUGUGCGGGAAUCUUUUGAUGGUUAGAAAUACUUUGUGAGAAGGAGAAUGGUGUUCGAUGGAUGAUUUAAUACGCGUGUAGUUCGGAAAGGGGGAAGGGGAAUAAAUUUGGAAGCUUCUUUGGGACAACAGUUAGAAAUGAAUAUUUUCAAUAAGGGAGGUGGACUUGGUGGAUGUGACCCCUCUAGAUCGUAGAUUUACUUGGUAUAAUUUAAAUGGGAGUGCGAUGAGUCAUAUUGAUAAAGGUCAAAUUAAAAGAAAAAAUGUUACAAUAAAACACAGUAUUUAUUUAAGGGGAAAAUAUUUUUUUUAUAAUGUCGAAGUUACAUGCUAACAUGAUACGACACUGUUUUAAUUCGAAGGUGUGUUAAAACCUAGCAGCAGAUCAAAGGUACAGUACAACCACAAACCCAAGGUUACUUGCUUUCCAAGGCCACAAAAGGGACCUUUAACUCUGCUAUACUCUAUUUUGUGUAAAAUAGAGUGCACAUCGAUCUUCCCCUCAGAUAUACACUAUUUUGUGCUUCAAUAAAAAUUGAAGUGUUUCAAUUAUAAAAAUUUGUGAAGCGAAAACAAAGUAUUAACCGUUAAAAUUGUGAAGCGAAAACAAUGUAUUAACCGUUAACUAUGUGAAAUGAAAACAGAGAGAAUUGAUAUAAAUCUCGUAUUCAUAUCGCAUAUUCUGUGAUUUAACUAUGUGUACAAGAAGGUUUAAUAUUAACUAACUGUGAUAGAUUCUAGAUGACUCCUACAUUUCUAAUAUUAACUUCACUUGUUCUGUACAUUCUACAUUGUUACAGAAUUUGCCAAAUUUUCAGAAAAUUACAGAAUCUGUCCAUUAUACCUUGUUACUGAUGUAAAAGCUUGUCAAGUGUUGAUUCAUCAAUUUUUAUCUCUUAAGAAACAGAGCUUUAAGUGUGAGUGGAUGCACCUCACUUAAGAGCUUUUGAACAAGCAUUUGUUCACCAUUUCUCUGAGAAUUGUAUAUAUGUCGCUUGUUGCUCUAGGGCCUGUUUGAGUAAGAGUCAGAGGCAUAUAGCAGUAAAGAUAUUAUCAGAAGGCAUCAUCAGAUCCUAUUUUACAGCACUUGAUAUGUUUUUCAUCUCUUAAUCAUUUGAGAGUGAAAUAUCAUUUAUGGACUAAUCUUUGAACCAGCAGGCAGGAUUUCGGAAGCAAGUAUUUGAGGCUUUUGUGAGCAAUUGUUUGGUGCCUAAAGAGUAACCUUCGAAUAUCACUCCUUCCACAUUUUUUUCUCCUUUUCAGCUGUUGCUUUUGCCUUCUGUCGAACCAAGCAAAGUGUUCAUGUGCUCUCCACCAAAUCCAAUAUGCAUAAGCUCUUCAAGUAAAGACCUACUCAUAAACCAAAUUAUUUUGCAGUACCAUAAAAUGGAACAGAGUCAAUAAACUAAAUUUAUUCCCUAAGUUAUCGGUAUAAUGAGUGCGAGGAAGAUUAUGUACCUCAUAUCAUAUGUUUCAUCUAAUUCGAAGUUUGAUGGCAGAGUUCCAAAGAUGUCUAGCUUUAAUUUGUUUGAUGGAGGAAUUGUUUCUUCUAGAUCAUCUGAUUCAAAAUUUGUUGGAGGAAUUGUUUCUUCUCGAUGAUUGGAUUGAAAAUUUGAUGAAGAUGCAGAUGCAGUUUCUUCUUGAUCAUGAGAUUCAAAAAUUGUUGAAGGAAUAGUUUCUUCCUUAUAUAUCCAGUGAAAUCCACACUCUUUUAUCGAUACUUCAUCAUAUAGAUCUUCUUCAAUAAAGAAUCUAAAUGUAAGCUUUGGAUUGCAACUAGUGCUGUUCACAUCAUUAAUGGAUUUUAUUUCUUCAACUGCUGCCAUUAUCUGCUUGCAACUUGCUUGAUCAUACCAAGAAACCAAAUGAUCCGAUAUCAUGUGGAUUGAUGGAUCGAAACGCAAUAACCAACUGAAGAAAUUUGCUCUUGUGAAACUUGUUAUAUAGAUUCUUUCACCUGAACUAUUGUCCAAAUAGCACUCACAUCCAAAAUCCACAUCAUAUCCCAUAUGGCCUUGAGAAAGAACCAAGUAGUACGAAAAUCCCUGUAAAUUAGACGGAAGCUCAAGAGUGACACAAACUUGUGUAGAAGAGUAAUGGAACCAAUUUUCCAUGCCAGGCAUAGCAGGUAAAAAGUACCAAAUAAUUUCAUCAUCAUCAUAUAAAGAUGGUCCAGUUUCAAUUCUAUCCAUAGCAUCUUUCAAAACUGUUUGGUAUGAAUGUGGUUCCAAAUUUUUGCAGUUAAGGAGAUAAAUAAAACAAGGAUUGGGUUCCUCAUAUGGUUCAAUCGUUGAACUCAACACUUUCUCAAGAGAUUCACAAUUCGAGACAACCAAAACUGGAAUGAACUGUGAAAGUGCCGGAAUAGAUUGAAUCAUUUUACAAUCGUAAACAUCAACACGUUCAAGUCGGGGAAGAUACUUAAUGGUUUCAGGCAAGCUUCUAAUGUCCAUACCAUCCAGUGUUAAAGACUUUAACGACGAUAGUAAGGAGAUACUAUCUGGGAAUUCAGACAAUAUAGGAAUAUAAAUAAAGGUUAAUUCUUUUACACUCUGGAAGGCAGGACUAGAAAAUAAUUUAUCUAAGGUGAUAAAAGGGUCAUCUUCACGAUUCUGUGGACUCGAAAGCGAAAUAUGAUCGGCAAAGUUUUCUGGAAGAUCCACAAGACAAUCACUGAUUGGAAAGACAAACCGUUUAAGGUUUUGUUUAUGCAAUAUUGACGAUGGAAGUUCAUUCCGAUCCCACUCUGAUAAACACAAAUCCAAACCAUCAACGGAUGAAAAUGUGACUGAGAACUCUUUGAGAUUGAUGCAAUCCCUAGCUUCCAAUUUCCGGAGCGCUGGUGAACAAGUGUUACUCGAAAGGCUCUUAAGCGAUGUACACUCGAAUACAUUUAAAACUUCAAGCUUUUGGAGAAGGAAAAUUGAUGAAUCAACUUCAGGCAUGCUUUCACAAUAACGAAGUAUUACAUGUUUUAGAUUUGGGGAACCCGACACAUUUGGACACUCUAUCAGCUUUUUGGAGCCACCGAGGUCAAGUAUCUCUAAAUUUGGCAAAUCCUAUAACAAUAUACAAUUGGUCAAACAAGUUAGUGCAUUUUCUUAAAUUCUAUAGAUUUCACAACCAAGAAGGGGGAAUAAGUAUAAAGGCUCACAUGCAUUUUUUGUUUUCCUAUUUUGAUAAAACCACAAUUUUGGUCAGCCAUUUCUAAUUAUGCAAUUUUGAUCACCUAUUUUCUAAUUACGCAAUUUUGGUCCCUAAUUUUUAGAAAUUGGGAGUAUAUAUGUAAAAGAGUCUUGCUAAUGAAUGCUCACCAUCAUUUUCCAUUAUAAAAUACUUAAAACUUUUAACAAAACCAAAAAAAAUACAAGGAUCAUACUUACCAGUACUCCAUUCCAAAGUUUUUCCACAUGGCUUCCUUUCAAUGAAAGCUCCACAAGCAUUUCAGGACAAAAGGUGGAAGGCAAAGAUUGCAAUGGAUAGCCAUCCCAUUGAAAAUAUCUUAAAUUUUCUGGCAAUAAAUCAAGACCAUGUGGAAGGUUUAUAGAUUUAAUUCCCUUGUUGUCUUGAAAAGCAAGUAACCUUAGAUUUACCAUCUUUUCAAAUGAUUCAGGUCUUAAAUUAAUAUGUGUGAAUUCAGUAGCAUCUAAAAAUAUGGAUUCAACAUUCUCAGAUCCCUGUAAAAAAGUAAAUCUCAACGUUAGUAUUUCCGUAGGAAGUUGCAUUUUGUAUAUAAAGAUCAUAUGAAUAGGAAGGCAAGUGAGGGCAUCUCUUACUCUAUUAUUUUUCAAUACAUUACAAACUUCCUUAGGAUCACAUAAUCUACUGCGUUGUCCGGGAUUCUUAAGUGAUUCUUCACGAACAAUUUGUUUUCCUGUUUCUUGUAUCAAGUCAUGCAUUUGUAUGCAAUUUUCAAAGUCAACGCUUAUAAGAGCCUUGUCUAAAAGAUUACUUAUCCCUAUAUCAGCAAAGAAACCACACUCAUUUAAUAUUUUUGUUAUUCUAUUCCUUUCAUGUCCUUUGAAAAAGCACGCAAUGUCUAAAAAUAUAUCUUUCUCUUUAUCAUCCAAUUCAUUAUAACUCAAUCUGAAUAUAAAAUCAAUUUCAGUGUUUGGAAUUUCUUUCAGUUUAGCCAGUGCACAAUCCCAUUCAAUUUCACUUUUACAACGAAGUAAUGAUCCCAAUACUUUCAAAGCUAAAGGAUUUCCUUUGGCAUAAUCAACUGCUCUUUUUGAGAGCUCCACAUAUCCAUCCUUAGGUGAGACUUUUCCAAAAGCAUUCAAGCUGAAAAGCUGGAGGGAAUUUUGGGAAUUCAUCUUCUUAACUUCAUAAAUUUUUUCAAUCCCUCCACUUAUCAAGACAUGCUUAUCCCUAGUCGUCACAAUGACUGUGCUACCAGAUCCUAGCCAACCAUGUCCUACUCCAAUCAAGUUUUGCAGAAGUUCUGAAUUAUGUACAUCAUCUAUUACAAUGAAAGAUUUCAUGCGUUUGAGUCUUCUCAUGAUCAUUGAUGGUAUUAAUUUGGAAGUAUCAAUAUCAAGAUCUUCCCUGAGUAACUUGGAAAGAAGUUUGUUGCAUGUGUAAUUGAUCCCAUGUCUCUUUGAUACUUCUGUUACCUUUUCUAAGAAGCAACUGCCUUCAUAUUUAAAAGAGACCCUUUGAAACAUAGCAGCAGCAAGGGUUGUCUUACCUGUGCCUCCCAUACCCCAAAGUCCAAUGAUUUGAACUUCUGUUAGAUCAGAUUUUAUUAAAGAUUGAAUGCUCCAAUAGUUUUCAUCAAGUAUGAAAUUACAUGGAAGAUCAUUUGUAUACUGUUGAUUUAAUUUUCCUAAUACAGCUCUAGUAAUGGCUUCAAUCAUUUCAGAUUCAGUCCUAACAUGUGCAAAAAAAAAAAAAAAAAGUUAAUACAUAUCAUAUGAAUGCCAACCAAAGGUAAAAUCCAAUUCUUCAUCUGAAUCUUAGAAUUAAAAUAUUAGGAAAAACUAACAAAAUACUCAAACAUUCACACAAUUCAUUUUCAUUUAUAUGCAUUUACAGAACAUACAUGUAUUGAAUUGGGCUUGAUCCUUAAGUGUACUUAAAUUAACAUUUUUGUUGAUCAAAGAUAAUUUUCAACCAAAUAGUAUGUCAGGAAAGGCUGUUACCAGACCAAAAUUAUAAUCGACGUAAUUCUCAAUAUAAAAAUAUCAUCAACAUUAAUGAUUAAAAAUAUAAAGCACAUGGGAAUAAACAUGUAUUUACAAAUGAUUAUUUUACUUUAUUAGAUCCUACAUAGUCUCUUUAGUUUCUGUUGUGAAUCCGGUUGAAACUCACACCAAUGAAAUAAACAAUGAUGUGUGGAGCAAGUGAUAGUGGUAAUCAAUGAGAACAAAUGGUUUCCAAGCAAACAACAACAAAGCAGCCCUAGACUAGUGUAUAGCAAAACCACACUAAGAGAUAACAAAGCAUAAACAAGAUAAGCAAGAAAGGAAGAACAAAACACCGAGAAGAUUGUUGACCCAGUUCAGCCAAUAUGGCCUAAUCUGGGGGAGAGAGCAGCUCUCCAAUCCAAUAUGAGAAAGUGUUACAAAAGGUUACAAGAAACUCUAGCCUUCAAGCUUUACACAAGACAAACCCUAGAUUCUACCCUUUGGUGUUUCCCCACUCUCACAAGAUGAACCCUAAAAAAGAGAAGUCACUAGAGGAAGCUUUUGAUCCUUCCAACUAAUGAACUCCUCACUACCCAAGGUGAUUACAAUGUUUUUCCCAACCCAAGAGACACUCUCAACAAAGACACUCAACCCUUUGGUUCCCUCCUUUGCUAUCCAAGUUCUAUCUCUAAGCUCUUCCAAGCUCUCUCUCAAAAAAGCACAAGAACACAAUAUAUACUAGUCUUCCUCUGAAGAAAUUGUGCCACGAUUUCCCACAAUCGUGUCACGAUUUGCAUCUGACCCAAGGUUGACAAGUCCUUAUUAGUGAUACUUAACGAGCAAGUUUCUGAAUCGUGUCACGAUUUCCCAAGAUCGUGCCACGAUUUGGCGUCCUGCAAACUAGCUCACGGCACCUUGAAAUCGUGUCACGAUGCCAAAAUCGUGUCAUGAUUUCUCUGUUCUUCCAGACCACAAAUUUGAAGCCAAUAACAACAGUUUCUUUAGUUUGUUAGUCUCUUAGUCUUAACUUGUUGUUGUCGUCGUUGUCUAUUAUGAUCAUGUUGAGUUUAUUGUCUUUCUAGUUCCUACCCACCGUGUAUUUUUUCGUGUGAACUAAGUAGGUAUCAUAUACGCACAAUUGCAAAGAAUAAUCUUUCAAGUUGCAUAUGAUUAUAAUAGAUGGUAAAACUGUCCUUCAAAAAAUUUAUUUAAUGAUGUUGCAUUUCAUGAUUUAAGAUAUUCGGUGAUUCUUUCCUUUUCAUAUUAGUAACAUAUUUUACUAAAAAUACAAGGGAAUCUAGUUACCCAAGAGUAACAUAUUCUGUCCUUCAAAAUUGAUUUAAGUUGUUAUUUUCUAGUUUGCACUCAACUUGAAUAUGCUUCUAAACCUUAUGAUUUUUUAGCGAUUUAUUUUUUUUGCGUUUUCAUCAUAGUCAAUAGAUCAUAUAGCGUCAAUCUUCACUCAAUUGCGAUCAAUUAGCAAAUUUGAUAGGUUUUGAUGAUGAUGGAUAAUUGAAAGGUGGGGAUUCCGCAUUCAGAUGGAUGAGUGGGUUGAGAUUGGUGGUUCGGUUAGGUAAUCAGGGUUAUGUAAAACAAAAUGUUAAAUGAGCAAUAAUUCGGUAGUUAUCUAACGGAGGUAGAAAAUCGAAAUUUUUAAAAUGAACAUCCGAUAGUUAUCUACCGGAUGUACAAAAUAGAUUUUUUUUUUCUUUUUAAAAUGAACAUCCGGUAGUUAUCUACCGGCUGUACAAAAUGAUAUUUUUUUAUAUGAACAUCUGAUAGUUAUCUACUUGACGUGUUAUUAAGGACAAUUUCAUAAUUUUAAGAGGUCUAAAGAGAUAUGAGAGGGGGGGCCUAAAAAGAACCUUCCUUGUUAGUUUACCUAGAAGCAAUAUAAUUAAUGCAAAAUUACCAUAGGGUUCAUUCUCAAGACACCAAAAACACAUUACCUCGUGCAUUUUUAUACGUUAGAUUUUUUUUUUGUUAAACCUUUGUUUCUAAGGGAAGGUGCCUCUUUUUUUUUUUUUUUUUUUUAUAUUUUUUAUAAUUUCUUUUAACCCUAUUGUUGAAAUAAAUAAAUAAUUUUUCAUCUCCCUUUCUUUCUCUGGCCCUCCAUCAUAUACUUUCUUUCUUUCAUCUUUGUGUUCUCUUUACCUGCUUUGGUUGUUUUUUUUCCAUAUCAUUUUUUUUUUGUGCUUUAUAUAUAUAGGAAUAGUACUAUAUUAUUAGAGUUUUGCGUCGGGGGUUUACUAGUAUAAAUUCCAUACUGAAGUUUUAUUGCAUAAGAUUUUCUAUGAUAUAAUAGGAAUUUUUUUACUGAAAUAUUCUUAUUUCUUUCAUUGUAUUCUUAUGUGAUUAGGUGCUUUUAGAUGUGAACAAUGAAUUGUAACAAUUUCCUUUAAAAAAUAAAGAAUUGUAACAAUCUUUUAGAUAUUUAUUAAUUAAUUAUCGAUUUUAAUCACAGAACCAUGAUUUAGAGGUUUCUUCGGUUCGAUCUCCGAUCUGAUUUUUACAACAUUGAUAUUAAUUUGACGGGCAGACCGAUAAAAUUUAAUUUUAAUGUAUGCAAAAACAGAAAAACCUGUAUGUGGUGGAAUGAAAACCAGACAAAUUAGCUGCUUGAAAAAGAGCAUUCUUCCAAUUUUGCAUCAUCUUAUCAUCAUUUUUGCCUUGUUUCUUGUGUUUAAUCAACGCAGUGCCAUAACUACCAGUCUGCUUCCGCACGUGUGAAGGGUCAACAUGGUAGAACACUGGAAUAACAACAACCUUGUCAUCUUCAUUUUUGUUACAACACUCCAUUAUUUCAACAAGUUCGUUCAAACACCAUGUUGAAGAGGCAUAGUUUUCCGAGAACACCACAAGAAAUAUAGUGGAUUGUUUGAUUGCUUUCACUAGUUCUACCCAAACUUCAUCUCCUUUCUCGAUCCUGUAGUCUAUGUAGGUAUAAAUCUUGCUUCGGCACAAAUCAGCGUAAAGAUGGCUUGUGAAUCCAGCGCGAGUGUCAUCACCUCUAAAGCUGAUGAAAACAUCAUAUUUCUUCAUAGGCAUAGUAGCAGCAUGAGAAGAAGAAGAAGAAGAAGAAGAAGAAGAAGAAGAAGAAGAAGAAGCCAUAUAAUCUAUGAGUUAUUGUCCUUAGAAUGUGGGAAUACCCACAUGUAUAAAAGCACAUUUUCAUAAUGUGUGUGGACCCUUCUUUAAGCACUUUGCAGAAAAAUGGGAUGAUAAAGUGGAACACCAUGAGUGAUGCCUUUACUUUUUCUUUUGAUUUAUAGCAUAUGAUUUAUUCCUUUUUUUUUGGCAGUAUUUUUUUUAUAGUAAGGUUAGCAGUUACCGGAUGGAAUAUGGGAUUUCUUAGAAUUCCUUCUUUUUUUAGUGGUGGCCGGGGUUCGAAUUUCGGACCUUGCAUAUUUUAUGCAUUGUCCUUAUCAACUGAGCUAAGCUCACGAGGACUUAGAAUUCCUUCGAUGUUUCUUUAAAAGUAUUUAUUUUUGUUGAAUGAAAUUUUAUGUUUGUUUUGAUCCGAUAAAAGUGAAUAUCCAGUAAAAAUUGCAUUUAUCUAGUAUGUUUUACUGUUUUUAUGUUAUGUGAUCUAUUUGUUUCUUCUAUUUAUGUAGUGAUAAUUUUAAUUUUUUUUUUUUUUUUUUUGUGCUUUAGUUAGGAAAGAGGAAUGGGUUCUGAUGGAAUCAAAGCUAAUUUGAGAUUUUGACAUUUGAGGAUUAGAAUUUUAUUCUCUUAUAUUUAGGAAUCAAAGCCAAUUUGUCUUGAAGAAUUUUAUCUUGAAGAAUAAAUGUGUGAAAAAUUUGAGAAUUUUAUUCUUUUAUCGUGUGAAGAAUAAUUCUAAUAUGGAAUUGAAGAUAAUAUUUUGGCCAUCUCAACAAACAAGAACAUUAAUGUGAAAAAAUCCGAAUUUAAAAAAUAUGUAGGUUGUAGGAAUUACAUUUUAGUUCAUAAUCAAUCCAAAAAGAGACUCUGUAUCCGAUGUAAUCUAUCAAUUUGAAUGAAUGAAUAUCAUUUAUUUUUGUCAAAAAAAAGAACAUUAAUGUGAUUAAUAACGGCAGACCUUGGUAGAUGAUGGAUAUAGAACACGAGGAUAAUGAUAAUUUAUCUCAUGUGCAUAAAACACUAAGGGUGUGUUUGGAUUGAGGGUUUAGGAGGCGAAGGAGGGAGGAAUUUACAUUUUUUUUAAUUACGGACUAUAUAACAUGUUUUUCUAAAAUAAAUUAAGUGUGAUUGAAGUAUUAUACGAUCGUUUAUCAAGUUAAUAUGUUAAUUUUUUUAAAAACAUUUCAUAGUGUCCGUAUUUUAAAAAUGAAAAACCACCAAAUUAAGUGGUCGAGUUUAUUAUGACGUUGGUAGUCUGUUACGGCUAACCUUAAUGGUUUUGGGUCUUUUAGCAACACUUAUGAAGUGUUACAAAUUUAUUUCUUGCCUGUGAUUCAUCGAAGAGGCAUUCCACAAAGUUCAUUUAAUUAUCUUACCAUCAUUUAAUCUCUUCAUGAAUUACAUGUUCCCCGCAGAUUCAUUGUCUUUUACCCCAUUUCUCUUAAUAUAUUAUCUAUUUAGUGAGAAAUAAAAAAAAAAUUGUGAUACUACUCCUAAUUAAAAGUUAAUAUACUAAUUUGUUUAAUGAAAUAGACGAAUAACCAUGUUAUCAUGGAACAUGUUCCUUCCUUAAAAAUAAAACCUUGUUAUGAUGGUGUUGCAAGAAUUUUCUCUACUUUUGGCACAUCCGUUAUAUAGAUUCGAAGAUAACCCGUAAUCAAUAUAUAGGAGGCAAUGCUAGAACAUCAAUCAUUCAUACCAUGAGCCCUACAUGCAUGGAGUUAUGUUGAACAAACCAAAAACACCCUCCCAUUUGAAAGGUGUGCUAAAGAAGUGGCAACUAGUUCUAGAACGGUUGUAUUUGACUUUAAUGAUUAUUUAAUCAGUGAUACAAGAUAGACCUAAAUGAGAAAAGCACUAUUCACAGUUUCUUAAAUUUGUCUAUUUAAACCCAUGUUUAAUCGUCGACAAUUAAGUACCUUCAAAAUAUGUUUUAGGUGAAUAGUUUUUACAAUCAUGCCUAAUCAGUUUUGAUAAGAAAGGCUCAUUAUAAUUAUAAAAAUAAAAAAAAAAAUUAAAUAGCUUGGAUAUAACAGCGAAAUUGCUAGGAAUUUUAGCUAGAGUUUUACUGCAAAAUUGUUGUGACGAUAUAUCCUAGCGAUAUAGUUACGACACAUAAACUUUUGAACAAUAUUUUACUAUAAUUUAAUUGGUAAUUAGCUACAAUUUUUUCAUAUAUUAUUUUCAUUUUAGCUAGUAAAUAUUUUGCCAGAUCAUUUUCCGUUCAAUGCAUGCUAUGACAGCUAAUUCAUAAUUAUUCUCUAGCUAAAUGUAUUUGCGCUAGAGAUUAGCUACAAAUUUGCUUAGAUUUCAAUCUUGCAGCUAAUGGCAGAUUUUCUUGUAGUGCACGCAUAAUGAUUUUGAUUUAUUAUAUUGCCUAACUAUAAUUUAUCAUGUCAUUUUUUGUGCCGAUCAAGAUUCACUUCAAUCAAUAUUUUACCACAUUCACACAUUCGAAAUAUCUACAGUAGUUGGAUCAAGAUCAAAAGAUCAUGAUCUAACGACCGCUGAUAUGCCAAAGAUGAAUGUAGAAAAAAUAUUAAAUACUGAGGCUGAAUUAAAAUAUUAGGAAGAACAAGAACAAGACAAAUACAAUCUAUGUAUAGUAUACCAUAUAUUUUGCAAAUUAAACAGUGAGAUUUGUGGUCACAACUACAAACUAAAUAGGAAAUAAUUUGAAAUGAACCUAAAAAUAAGUGGUUUCCCUAGAGAAAGUCGAAGAUUUAAAAUCAAGGCCGCAAAGGAAACCUGUAAUUUCAAACCAUGAAGGCACUAAAUGUAGGUGGCAAUGACACGAAAUCUAACCAUUUUGAAGUUCUAACUCCCUUCUUAGUAGUGGCGGAGCCUUUCAUGGGCUGGGGUGGGCCACGGCCCACCCGAAAAAAUUAAAAAAUCAACAAUUAUAGGUCUAUUUUGUGAGAUUUUAUGCAAUUUUGUGUCGAUUUUAUGUUUUGGUUGAUCCAAAUUCUUGCAAAGUGGUGUAGUGGCCCACCCGAAAAUUUAAAUAAUUCAAUUAUAGUUUUAUUUUGCGAGAAUUUAUACAAUUUUAUGUCGAUUUUAGGUUUCGGAUGAUCCAAAUUCCCGCAAAUUGGUGUAGUGGCCCACCCGAAAAAUUUAAAUAAUUCAAUUAAAGGUCUAAUUUGCGAGACUUUAAACAAUUUUUCAAUAGUUACUUUUAGUGGCCCACCCUGACAUUUUUUUUCUGGCUCCGCCACUGCUUCUUAGCCAUUAUUUCAUUAGUUAAAUUUACUUUGAAAUCCAGAAGUCCUAGCUCAACUGGCAAAAUGCCGAAAUUGUUAGGCCGGAUGUCAUGACCGGGGUUCGAACCCCGGUACCUCCACUUGUGUGUGUGAGUUUAUAAUGGCUUUGCCAUUUCGUCUAUCUACCAAAAAAAAAAAUUACUUUGAAAAUUGAGAUUCACUUUGUAGCCAUGAAACGGUUUUAUAACAGAGUGAAUUUGAGAUUCACUUUGAUAUAUAUAUAUAUAUAUAUAUAUAUAUAUAUAUAUAUAUAUAUAUGUAGUUUCUUUGGAAACAAAUAGGUCAUGGAAGGAAAUGGGAGAUGCAGAGAAGAGCCGGUCGAUAGAAAAAGACUAUUGUUUUUUGGUAUUGUCGAUCUUACUAACAUCUUGUUUUAAUUUUUUUUUACUCUUUCAAUUAUUUAAAUAUUUAGUAUGUAUAUUUUUAUCAUUGAAUUAGAUUUUAUCCUUUAUUUAGUAGAAAAUUAAUUUCAGUAUAAAUAUCAUAAAUUAAUUUUUAUUCGAAUUUGUAGUGGUAAAUAAAAAUAAACGAAUUAAAUUUAAUAAAUAGUAUUAGGUUCUAGUGAAAAACACAAAACUGUUGGUAAAAGGCAUGUUUUUUUUGCUACUUUUAUUCAUGACGUUUACGCACCGGAUAAACCGUAGGUAGAACUUAAAACUUUUGGUGACAGUCACUUGAACUUUUCCUCUCAGACACAACCCUUGAAAUUGGGCGUACGUAAUUGACGCCUUUUUCUAGUAUUGAAGGACUUCUAUGGACAAAUAUUAUCUUUCUGUUGAUGUCAAAUUUCUUGAAGUGAUAUGUUGGGGGUAUAAGUGUGAAUAGUUUGUUGGAACAAAAUGUGUUUCACAAUGAACCUUAAUGAGUUUUGAUGAUAACAUGGUAUUAAAAAUUGUCAAUUGGUUAUUACUAAUUAUUGUUCAAGUGUACAGGACCAAAGGCUAGUCAAGUAAUUUCAACAGGUCUUGGAAGAACAAUGAAAAGCAAAAGAAUUCCAAGCAUCUGAAGAAAACUGCUCCUGAAGUUGAAGUGCUUCUGAAGUGAUGACGUCAUCAGAAGCAAGGUUUUCAUCAGAAGCUAUAUCUUCACCAGAAGCUACAUUUGAUCCUUUAAUCAAUCUGAAGAUUCAAAGUAGCUGGUUCUCAAUUCAAUCUUAUCUAAGAAGAACGAAGAAUUGAAAGGGAUGUACCAACGGUCAUAUGGAUAGCACUGAGCAUUUGUCCCUCGUUAACAGAGUUGACAAAGUACAAGUGUACAACCACUACCUCCACUACUCUGUUUUUGUCCACGCUACAAGACAAGACAACAGCUAUGCCUGCAUAAUUUGUGUCCUCAAGAUGGGAAUGAAUUUGAAGCUUAUUCUUCAAAGGAGUACACUCAAAUCAGGCAAAGGAUUACUGGUGGAUGAUCAAAGGAUUUCAAACGACUCUUUAGACGUUCUGAUUAUCUCAACGUCUCUUUCACGCCUCUAUAUAAAGGAGUGAAGACUUGAAGAUUAAAGAUAGAGAUAUACAAGUUCAAAAGCGCCAAAACUCUGUCAAAUUGAUUCUACAAAGCACACUGAAUUUCUGCACUGAUUUGAUACAUCUUAGAAAUUCAAAGUCUAGAGUCUUUAUUGUAUUGUAUUGAGAACACCACUGAUUGUAUAUCAAGUGUUCAAGUCAAACUCAAUUCUCUGUAUUUUUGUUUGAUCAGAAGUCUCUUGCCUGCGUGCUUGAGCAUUAGAAGUCUCUUGCUUAGUGCUUGAGCAUUGGAAGACUCUUGCGUGUGUGCUUGAGCAUUUUUGUGAAGUCUCAUACUUAGAAAGUAUUGAGCAUUUGUAAUCUUUGUGAUUAUAGUGAAAUCUCCUUGGAAGUGCAAGGGGGACUGGACUACUUCCGUGUUGUGGAAGGAACCAGGAUAACUGCUUGUGUCUUUGUCUUUCUUUUCUCUGCUCUGCUCUGUUCUUUUCCGCUGCAUAUCUAAUUCUGAUCAUUUCAUCAGAAGCACUCACAAACUGCUUCUGAAGGUUUAUCAGAAGAAGAUUUUUAGAGAGAAAAAGAAAACACAAUUCAACCCCCCCUUCUUGUGUUUUUCUCACCUUCAUAGUUUAGUCUCACAUCGACUAUAAAUUAAUUAAAUGUAGGAUAUAUAACUUAUAAGAGUGGCGACUCAUGCCUAAUGUCUUAAGGUUUUGGGGUGGAGAAGUUGUGUCCAAUCUCUUGAUGGUCCUGAUCAUUUACCAAUUGUUUCUCUUAGCGCUCUCCCGGACUCUGCAACAAUAUCUUGAAAAACCAAAUGGUUAUAAAAUCGUUAACUUGCAUUGCUUUUUCAGCACUGUCUUGUUUUUGCCAUGCCAUAUUGCAAAUUUACACUACUAGAUUUGCACAAACCUUGGUGUUAUUAAUUAACUUUUUCCAAACAUAAACUCUUGUAUUUCAUAUCACAUGUCUAACACAUACAAGAGGUACACACAUCAUGAGUAUUUCUUAUUGAUGUAAAGUAAACCAUAAAUACCAACAAACAAACAAACAAACAAACAAACAUAACAACAUGACCAUGAUGAGGUAAUUUGACUACUUCACACAUUUUAUUUAAAGCAACAGAACAAACAAUGAAACUCAUUAAAUGGAGAUACUAUUAGGAAUGCCUCUGCCAGUCAAUCCUUCCUCACUAGAAGGAUAAAGCAGAGUGUAUGGCAUCUUCACAGGCCCGUAUCGGUUUCUCAAUGACUCAUCAUUGUUCCUUUUGAUGAGCUUUGCCUCAAUUUCAGCCAACUUCCUUCCAAACCUCUUGAAAGCUUCUAAUGGCUGUGAAUCAAAAGUCCAAGCCUCACCUUCAUUUCUCUGUCCAAGGUAUUGCUCAUCAGAAGCAUGCCUUGACAAGACCUCUAUGAUUGUAAGGUCAGUUAGGGUAUCAUUUUUUGGUGUGAUUGUCCUCAGAUACGCCUUCUGAAAGUUCUUAGAAAGCUCGUCAUACUCAGCAGACCCUUUCUUAGGCAUGUGUCUCCGGCUCUUAGUUGGUCGGUUAAGUAUAUAUCCUCCAUAUGGGUAUUGACCAAAAUUAACAGCUGCAUGAUGUGCUGAAGCAAUCCAUAUGAGGAUAGUGCAAGCUUCAAUCAACUCUGUACAAGUUUGCAUCUUAAACCACCAUGUAGCAUUCUUCAAAUCACCAUGACCCACCUCUACAACUUCUCUCCAAAAUGCUUGCAGUUCAGAAUCUUGCGCAACAGCAACAUCUGACUUGUAGUAGAAAUUCACAUAUUCUUCAACCCAUGACUUGAUAGCAUCCCAUAUCUCUAGUCCAUCAGCAGCAUAAGGGUAGUCCUCUAUCAGAAGGCGAAUUCCAUGUGGGGAAGUUGGAUCCUCAACAGCCACUCCUCUAGAUAUAGCAUGCAAGGAAGAUAUCAUUAACAUAAAAAAUACUUUUGACAUCAAUAUCUUUUUUACCAAGAUUAUUAAAUUUCUAUUGUAGUCACAAUCCUAGCCAUUAUAGAGAAUUGCGGUAAAAUAUAGUUGAUGCCUUAUCUUAGAUCAUGGUUACUAGCAUUAUUUCAAUCCUUUUUUAACUAAUGAAUGAGUAGUAACUAAUUUUUUUUUGAAGGUUACCUUUUAAGUAGAUCAUUAGGUAGUCCUUGAUCUGGGAAAACCCAAUCCUUAUAUAAUACAGAAGACAGUUCUAUAGAAUGACUUCCCAAUAAGAAUGUUGAUUCUAUAAUACCCUCUGCAUUUACCAAGACACUCCUUGCAAGUGCAUUAAUGUUCAUUGUGUCACGAUAAUGUGGAAGCAGAAGUUUGUGAAUAGGGUGAACCACACUAAGAUGCCUAUUAGUUGCUAUGAUGAAUGGCUCAACAACAGCGUGCGUGUUCAACCUGUUACACAUGUAGAUAUUCAUGAAUCAAUCUUAGAUAUAUAAAAUUAAAUAUGUUUGAUUCUAUAAAAAUUCAUCAACAUAAUUGUACCAGUGGCUGACAAGUUGGUGAACAGAAGAGUCAUUUACAAUAACAUAAGCCUUGGCAAGGAGCCAAAUAGAAGAUUCAACACCUUCCUUUGCAGGCAAGUAAACAUCACUAACAGGACCAAAGCUAUCAGCCUGAGGAUGUGGGCUACUUAGCUCAAUGGCUAAUGGCUUCAAAGUUCCAUCAUUUUGUAAGAAAAUGAUAGUUCUAGUAGCAUAUGCCUUUGUUGUAUCAGCUGCAUUUAUUUUCCUCAGAUAUGGAUAUAUUGAGUCAUGGUGAUCAAGUAUGUAAAGCCUGUUGUUUUGGAUAGCCUAUUGAACAAAAUAUAAUUUAGUCAUUGCAAUUAUUUGAAUAAUAAAUAACCACAAAAUAACAUUGUCAAAGUUAAAUUAUAUGCAUAGUAUUAAUGUUAAACUAUGUCAUUACUUCUUCUACAGUGACCCCAUCCAUGUUUAGCUCUAACUGUUCUUCGGUUAUUGUGCUCGUAUUAUCACCAUAAUCGGUAUUUAGCUUGCUCUUUGGUGGGAACUCCUACAUUAUAUAUAACAAGUAAUACUGAAAUUAAGAUUGAAAAUAUAGUAUGUAAAGUGGACAAAAUAGAGUUUAAUUUUGUGUUUGUAAAGAAAUCGUUAAACUAUUAAGUUUACCUGAAUUCUUUUUAUAAUGUGUGGAUUCACACCAGCAAUCAUCUCCCUUGCAAAUUCUUCAUCAGUCAUCCACGCAGACUGAUUAACUGCUCAAAAUAAGAGCAUUGCAAAUGAUCUGUAAUAUUUUUAUUUAUUCUAUGAAAAUAUAUUGCUAGGACUAACUAAUAGAUACCUUGAAUCACUUUAGGCGGUGGAAACUUUAGGGCCGAUUCACCAUCAGUUCGGAAGAGUUCCUUGAAAAAUGGUAUGGGGCUAAGUUUGCUAAGUAUACUAGUAGGUAAUUUAAUCCCACCAUCAUAAAAUGAUCGCACAUCAUCAAAGCUAUUAAAUUCUGGCUUAUUGAGUUGUAAUGUAAUUGCAGAUUGUAAUUGAGGUAUGAAACUUUGAGAAGCUGAUUUGAGUAUGUAAACAAGAAAAUCUGAAGACUUCAAGUGACCAAAUGCUUCAUCUCUUGGAACGUAAACAAAGUCGUCCCGUCUCUCACUUUUAGGAUCUGUUCACAUACAAAAUUGAAGACACGCAUUAGCAAGUACUAGCAAAAAGAUCGAUAACUUUAAAGUCAUAAUAGAGAAAAUGUUUUGAUCACAGCACCAUUAAUUUAAUAUGGAACUUUAAAAUUAUAACCUUUUUUAGCUGGUUUCCUGCCGGUUCUGCCCCUUCGAGGGUAAGGCAAGGUGUCGGAUCCUCCAAUAACGGGACGAGCCAAGUGUGCGUACUUGUCAGGAUCACCCAAGUCAUUGUAAACAUCGUAGUCAUAGAUUCUAUCGUGUUCCUUGCGCUGACCCGUUCCAUCUCCUCUUAAAGUCUUCAAUUCUUCUUCUCUAUAGUAGACUAAUGGAGCUGGUGUUUCACUUGGAAGGUAUGUCUAUAUUUUUAUUUAUUUGAUGGUGUAAGAUUUCAGGAAAUAUAGUUCAUAUUUAAAGGUCUUGCUAACAAGUGCCCUAAUGUUAAGAUUAAAAUAUUGAAACCAGUUGAUAGCUUUCAUGUAGAAAAAAUUGUUUUUUGAUGUUCCAAUGUGUUAACAUUUCACUAUAUUUAACAUGCACGAUAAAUAUGGUAUAUUCAUUACCUUGUUGGCGAAGAAGAUGCGUUUCGUUUUAUACUUGUCAGCACUGUAAAUCCAUGAGUUGCAUACAAAGUUGAUGGUUCCAUGGUUUGGAAUAUCUUCAAGUGUCAAACUUACAAGGAAGAAUUCUCGUGUCAUGUUACUCUCAAUAUAAAAUGCUCCUGGAACUCCCAUGUCACUAUUCCAUUCAAAAUGAAUAUCAUAUGCAGACUGUCCUGCUCCCAAAAUUGGCAUGGAAGUAACAAAACCUUCAAUAAAUGUUUUCUCUCCGACUUUCCCUUUUCCGCUUCCUACAAAUAUGUUACAAGUUUGAUUUACAAUUUCAGCAAUGAUAAUACUCCCUCCGUCUCACAUCAGGUGUCACAUUUGAGUUUUACACAAUUAUUAAAAAAAUGAUUAAUAAUUUUGAUUUUAAUGAUAAAUAUGUAUCAUUUACUAACAUACUUUUAUUAAUUAUAAUUAGUGGAAUAUUUUUAAAUGAUUCAAAUACAAUAGAUACAGAUAUGUUAAAAGAAAAUAAUAAUAAAUAUUGUAUUAUUAGUGUUAUAAAAGGGACAAAUAAAUUAAGAAAAAAAACAUAUAAUUUAAGACGGAGGGGAAAAAACAUCUAAUUUGAAACGGGGGAGUAACAUUCAAGAUUAAUUUAUGUCAAAGUAACAAAUUACUCUUUUUGUGCCAAAAAAAUAUUAAUUCUUUCCACCUGAAUAAAGUGUUUUAUAUAGGAGUUGAUAGUUGAUUAUAUCUUUCAUGCUAUAAAUAAGUUUUUGGUCCCUUUAAAUAUCUCAAAUUUCAGUUUUUAUAGUUCAAAAUAUUUUCAGCAAAAUUUGGGUUUGCUAAAAAUAACUUAGAAGGAAAAACUUGCCAAAUUGUUUUAGAGAGACUAUAUAUAAAAUUUUAGAUAUUUAUACAGUAUCCCUAAAAAAAAAAAGAAAUUUAUACGGUAGAAUUAUUUUUUUUAACCCAUUUUGUAAUGAUAAAACAAAAGGGAAACUGAAUUGAAUCUUAUGGACUAAGGGUCAAAUAAUAGAGGAAAAAAAAAAUCAAAUUAUUGAUAAGUAUUAAUAAAAAAAUUAAACCUCACAAAGAUUAAUUUAAUGUAUCAAACUAAUAACUGAAGACUAACAUAUCAUAUGAUUUUCUAUGUAAAAUGUUACCAGAUCGAAAAUCAUAUGAUAUGUUAAUGAGGUAAAUCAAGACUAACUUCUGAUGUGUGUGUAUAAACUUCAAUUCAUUUGUAAACUUUAUUAAUGUUUACUCGUUAAAGCGUUAUUGAGCAGCGCAACACUGUCCAAAUACUAUAUGUGUUCAGUGUUGUAAAUUUAUGACGAGCAUUAUGUAGUCUUAGAAUGAGAAAUGAAUAAGUUUAUUACCAUCGGCAGUGGUAGCACUGAUCAACCUGAGAGCCACAGAACGGCCGACAAAGGCCCCGGCGGUGUCAAUUAGAGUGCCGGCGACACCACCAACAGCCUUGAUUCCAGUUUUGACCAAAUUAGUGGUGUUUUUAGUUGCACCAUUGAUGGCAUUGAUGUCGAAAACAUUUGUUUGCAUCAACACAACUGUGCCCUUCACCUUUUGGCCUCUCUUAAGCAUACUUUUGAACCCUGAAUACAUCUUAAUUUGCUGCUUAAAUUUUUUUUUUUGCAAAUUAAUGAGAGAAAAGUUUGUGGCUGGCAAGAUGCAACCAUCUCAUUAUUUAUAGGGCCAAAAUUAAGCUUCUGAUUAAGAACAAAUAAUUUUUUUUUAAUUGAUUAAUUGAUCAUUGACAUCGUGCAAAAACUAUUAGUAAUAGGCUAAUCGUGGAAUAUAAAAUAAUGAUGUAUUUUAUUAUAGAAAGAAGAUAACAAUAUGUGUUACACAAUCAUAUUAUGACAAAUGGAUUUUUGAACUAUAGUUAAUUAGAUUCUAACGCGUACACCAAUAGUAAUAGGCUAAUCGUGCAAAAAUUAUUUCCUGAUACGAGGUCGUCUUUCUUUCCAUUGUUAAUAAUAUCCCUUCUCACAACUCACAUUCACAUACCGUAACCAUGGUUCAAUUUAAUAAUAUUAAUAAUAAGAGGAUGUACAAGAGUUAAUUAAACUAUGCAAGUGCAACUCCUAUAUGAUUUUAAGAUGAACAUAACUCAACUCUUACAAAUAUGAUUUGUAAGGUGAGGGGUUUCCCACUUAUAAUAAACUCAUUUUAUCUUCAUUUAAUAUAGAACUUUUACACUGCUCAUAUAUGUUUAAGAAUGGACGACAGGAGUGUGACUCGAGUUGUAUGAAAAUAGAUGAUCAAAUAGAUUUUAUUACGACUAUAAUACAUAAUGAAGGUUGUCCCCGUGAGCAUACUCAGUUGAUAGGGACAUACAUAAUUAUAUGCAGGGGUUGGGGUUUGAACCCAGACACCCCACUCAUUCACCUUGAAAAAGGUGAAUUCUAGCCACUAGAUUAAAAAAAAAAAAAUUAAGAAUUCAUUUUCAGGUAUAGUUUUAUCAUCAAGUGUGAAACUAUUAAUAUAUGCAAUGUUAAAAUAUAAAAUAAAUUUGUUUUUAUUUUUUAUCGCAAGAUUUAUCAUUAAACUUUAUUUAGUUGUUUUGACUCAUUCCUUUUUCUAUAUUUUAGCUGUUUUAGUUGAAUGUAGUUCCGUUAGAACUAAAAUUUAAGUUUUUUUUUUUUUUUUUUUUUGGAAAGUUCCAUGAAAAAGAAAUUAGUUUUUUUUUUUUCUUUUUUUCUAGUACUGCAAACUUUAAAAAUAUAAUUUUUCUGAAUGCUUUUGUAUGAAUGAAUUUUGAGGAGUGUUAGAAACACUCUCUUUUUAACACCUACAUUGAUAUUUAAUUUACUCUUUUAUUGAAUGAAUUCAUUGAUAUUUACUAUUUUAUUGAAUAAAUUAAAUGUGUAUUAUACAUUUUAAAAUGAGUUUCACAUAAAAUGGUGGAUUCCAUAGAUUUCGUCAAAUAAAAUAGUGGAUGUUAGAAAGAAUGUUCAACUCUAUGGUCUAUUCACUAAUAUUUUCACACCCCACAAAAUAUUUCUAAUACAAAAUAUUUUGUCAAGAUUGAAUAAACUUUCAAAAAAACUUGAGCUAAAUUUUCCAGAAGAAAAAACUGUUGAUUGGAAUACACGGGGAAUUUUUUUUUGGAAUUUUAGUCACGCUUCAAAUGUGGUUAAACUGCCGAAUUUGUAAAACGUAAUACUUGGAAAAAGAUUUCCAAAAUUUUAUCCAUAGUUGCUAAAAAUCCUGAGGAAAAUUCAAUGAAUCUGCCGUUUAGUAUCAUUUCAAGAAACUUUUAAUCAAUUGUAAAAAACUUUUACUUACCAGAAAUAUUUUGUCCGAGUUAAAGUCAAAUGACAAAAAGAUAAAAUUAACAAUAGAAUUUUUUAUAGUUUGUAGGGAGGAGAUGUAUGAAUGCAGGGGUAAAGAUUAAAGUGAAUUUUUAUUUAAACUAUAGAGCAAAAGCAAAAGCCCGCGACAUGUGCAAUGAGGCUAAGGCUUUGUAGAGCAAGAGUGAUUUUUUAUUUUUUCACAAGAGUUGUUAGGGCAAUGAGGACUACCCUACUCUUCCUACCCCACAAAGUAUAUAACAUGUCUAAUUUAUUUCCAACGACUUUAAAUUAUUGAGGAAUAGGAGUUUAGUCCUUUCAUCAUUUCAGUUUUUGGGAUCGAAAAAUUGAAAAAGUCAAAAUUUGAAUUUUUUUUUUAAUGUACUAGUUUUUCUAGUCCAUACGAAGAGAUACAUAUCAUGUGAAAUUCACACAUAAGACUGUAAGAUUAUAAGUUUGAAGCGGACAAAGAUGUUCAAACUAAAAAUAUUGAUAUUAGUCAUUGAAAUAGACCAUGCAGACAAGAAAAUAUUAGUUUUUGAAAGAAAGAAAAAACAAUGUUACGAGGAACUCAAAUUUUGAGUUUUUGAUAAAUUAAAAAAUUUGAAAAAAUGGGAGUAUUUGUUAACAUUUCCCUAUAAAUGAAAACGAUAAAACCAAACAUUUUAAAAGAAUAUAGUAGUAUGAUUUUGAGGGGUAGGUAGAAUAAUUCUUCUGGAGCGAUAAUGCUAUGAGAAGAGCAACCAAUUGCAUAUACUUGGAUAUGGUUUGGAAGGAGCACAUUUUCCAACUCAUUAAUUAUUUUAGAGAGUGACUAAUUUUUUUUUUUGUUAGACAUGGUUACACGUAAGUACAAGUUUAGUUAGGGGUGCCCUACUUUCGUGUGGUGAAUUCGAUGAUUUUUGACUUUGGAUCGCGUGUUCAAUUUCAUCAUUCUUGGAGAGAAUGAGACUUUUUAUCUUGCACAACUCUCGAGUCUCCUUCUAAUUAACUUUAUAAACUUAUUUUUGAUCAUAUCUUUGGGGCUUGCAUACUUAGAAGUGUUUGUUUUGAUUUGUAGUUUUUCUUUGGGCUUCGACCAUCUUUUGUACCAAAACAAGAGAUUACUUUUUGCGUCCAAUGAGUUUCUCACGCACCAUAUUUUUUUUUUAAUACCCUUUAGAUUCUAUAAUUCAAACAGCACUUCAGCUUAUAUAAUCUGAAAACUUGUAUUUCCAAUAUUUACUUAACAUCGCUGAUUUACAAAACAUCAUUGACAUAUACUAUUAAGAAAACAUAAUUGAAAAUGACCAAAAAUUGAAACAAAAAUGUAGAGACAUAAAAACGAAUUCAAAUUCUCAUUAUAUUAAUAGAUCAUAUCUUGAAAGUACAUUUACAUUAACAUCAAAGCAUAUUACGCAAAAUUAUUAAACAUCUAAUAUUAAACAUAUGGUGCAAGAAGAUCAUGUAGGGGUAAAAAGAAUAUGAUGGAGGGGGAAGGAGGUUGGAGUAAGGUUUUUUUUUUUUUUUUUUAGGAUGAAGGAUACUUUGAUGGUCAACCUUACACCUAAACAUAUCAAAUUUACAUCCAAACAUAUGGUACAAAUUUGCAUAGUGGCACCAUCUUCGUUGAUCGCUCAUACGAUCGCUAAAAUAAAAGAGUAACCUUUUUGUAUAAAAGGUCAACGAUGGAAGCAUAUUAAUUGUGGAAGAAAACAGAAGGAGAAAAUGUGAAGAAUGAGAAUUUGUGAAGGAUUGGUGGGUAUUUACAGGAGGAACUUGUGAAGGAUGAUGCAUAGAGUGUAUAAGACCAUUGAUUACGGUCAAAAAACGUGGUAAACCUGGUUCGACCGGUCAAUGAAACUGAUAUGACCAAAGAAAAACUUGUUCAAUGAGUUAGUCUUGCUGAGCUGAUUCGAACUCUGAACUAGUUCAUAUUAGGUAAUUUGAACUCAUCCCAGGAAUGUUAUUAUAUAAUCCGAACUAAUUUAAGAUUGUGUUAAAAUUCAUACCUUAUAGGGUGAGGGAGAGUUUAAAUUAUAAAUUAUAUAAUUCAAACCAGUUCAAUACAUGUUCUUUUUGUGAUCUACAUUGCACCAACAGUUUCCUUUUAUGUUUUUUUUCUUUUUCUGUGUUCUGGUGUUGUGCCUUAUUGGCCUUUUUUUCCAAAACUGUGACACCAAUUUUUUAGGGCGAGAAUAGAAUUUGAUUGAUUCUCUUCAUUAAAUUCAAUGGAUUUCAUAAAUUUCUAAUUUUAAGGUCACACGGCUAAUACAUAUAUAACACAAAGUGUCGUCAGAGUCUUUUGGCAUUGGUGUCAUACUAAUCUUGUUUGAAUUCUCUACUCCGAUUAUUUUCUAUUACUUUGAGAAUUCAUGAAGUCAUUCAUAGACCUAUUUAACACAUAAUUGAUGCCUGUGUUUUAUAUUUACACUUUAUUAAAACUGUUGUAAAAGAAAAAAAAAACAGACAUAAUCAUAUUUUCGUUUUAUAGUUACGGUUUGCAAGCAUGAAUUCUCACCUCCGUUGAUCUCUUUAAAUUAAUUCGAAGCUUCAAUUCAAAGUGGGUAGAAGAAAUUGUAAACAGAGCAAGAGGUUUAGCUUGGAAUUCAGAAAAAAGUCUUGAAGCUUCACCCUUUCAUCAAUUCUUGAUUUUUUCUUCAAUUUGAUUAAGGGGGAUUACCACUAAAUGACUGUUUUAUCUUUAUCUAUUUUAUGAGCAUGUUGUUGCUUUAUGAAAUUUUUAGAGAUUCUUAGUUUAUGCAAUCUAUUUUAUGUGUUUCUGUCAAUCGCACUUUUGCUGCUGCGUAUUUAUCUGGUUUUGUGUUUGUGUCAGUUUCUGCAUAAUAUCUGCAUUCGUUUAGGUUUCCUUGUAGUUUCUUGUUUAAUGCAAUUACUACAUAAUUGCAUUUCUAUUUUUCAUGUUUCAUUAGUUAAUGUUAUUGCUCUUUUUAGAUUUUAUUUCUGCAUAAUACAUUCUUUAAUGAUUUCUACUUGGCUACUGGUUAGAACUAACAAUUAAAAAUAAAAGAUCUUAAAUAAGGGCAGGUCUUUAAAAAAUACCAUUAUAAUUUUCAACGUAACAUGCUUCUCUAUUUUACAUCUCUUUGUUAUAUAUAUUCAAAUUGGUGAGGUAUUUGAGAUUCUAGAGGGUGAUAAAUGCCUUCCUGAAGAACAAUUGCAAAGCUUAUAAAUGCCUUCCUGAAGAACAAUUACAUCUCCAAAUGUGGUCUUCCUGGAAACUCAGGUGGCAGACAAAUUAAAUCUUGUUCUGGUUUUGCUUGCAUGCAAUGUAAAUUUGAAUCCCUCUAAUAUCUCUUUUGUUUAGAACCUUCUCCUUAUGUCUAUGGUUUUUUUUUUUUUUUAAAUUUAUAAAGAUGAGCAUAUUUCUUAUUCAAAUUUACUAAUUUAGAGAAGGGUUCAUUGGAUUUGAAACUUGUUAUCAUACUUAUGCAUAUGUCAUCUUCAUUUAUUUGUGUGGAUUUACAGGGUUGUAUAUGGAUUUGUUAUGUUUGCAACUUAUUUUCUUUUAUUUUCAAUAGGCUACAUAUGCUUCUUGUACAGUUUCUUUGGAAACAAAUAGGUGAUGGAAAGAAAUGGGAGCUGCAGAGAAGAACCGAUCGAUGGCGGAAUUUUCAUGGAAAUAUAUGUGCUCUACCUAAUGGUCAGUGUAACAACUUGAAGGCACCAUGAUUUCUAGUCAUAGUUUAAAAUUGUUUGAUGUAAAAGGUCGAAACUAAAGCAUUAAGGUAAAAUAUAAUUCACUUUAACUGUUAUUACUUUUUGGGUAUUAACAGCAUUGCAACUGUUAUAUAAUCUUAGGAAAUCAAUAUUGUACAUUACUUUUUCAGCACUAUCAUCUUUUUAUCAUGCCAUAUCGCACUACUAGGUUUGCACAAACCUUGGGGUCAUUAAUUCAUUUUUUCCAAACUUAAACUAAUGCAUUUCAUUAUCAUAUCACAUGUAUUACACAUACAAGAGGUAAACACAUCUUAAGAACUUCUUAUUGAUGUAUAGUAAAACAUAAAAGCAAGCAAACAAACAAACAUACAUAAUAACAAGACCAUGACGAUGAGGGAAUUUGACAACUUCACACAUUUUAUUCAGAGCAAAGCAACAUACCAUCAAAUUCUUUAGAUGGAGAUACUAUUAGGAAUGCCUCUGCAAGUCAAUCCUUUCUCACUAGAAGGAUAAAGCAGAGUGUAUGGCAUAUUCACAGGCCCGUAUCGGUUUCUCAAUGACUCAUCAUUGUUCCUUUCAAUGAGCUUUACCUCAAUUUCAGCCAACUUCCUUCCAAACCUCUUGAAAGCUUCUAAUGGCUGUGAAUCUGAAGUCCAAACCUCGCCUUCAUUUCUCUGUCCAAGGUAUUGCUCAUCAGAAGCAUGCCUUGAUAAGACCUCUAAGAUCGUAAGGUCAGUGAGGGUAUCAUUUUUUGGUGUGAUUGUCCUUAGAUACACCUUUUGAAAGUUCUUAGAAAGCUCGGCAUACUCAGCAGACCCUUUCUCAGGCAUGUGUCUCCGGCUUUUAGUUGGUCGGUUAAGUAUAUAUCCUCCAUAUGGAUAUUGACCAAAAUUAACAGCUGCAUGAUGUGCUGAAGCAAUCCAUAUGAGGAUAGUGCAAGCUUCAAUCAACUCUGUACAAGUUUGCAUCUUAAACCACCAUGUAGCAUUCUUCAAAUCACCAUGACCCACCUCUACAACUUCUCUCCAAAAUGCUUGCAGUUCAGAAUCUUGCGCAACAGCAGCAUCUGACGUGUAGUAGAAACUCACAUAUUCUUCAACCCAUGACUUGAUAGCAUCCCAUAUCUCUAGUCCAUCAGCAGCAUAAGGGUAGUCCUCUAUCAGAAGGCGAAUUCCAUGUGGGGAAGUUGGAUCCUCAACAGCCACUCCUCUAGAUAACAAGCAAGGAAGAUAUCAUUAAUAUAAAAAAUUAAAAAGCUUGAGAUCAGUAUCUAUUUAACCAAGAUUUUAAAUUGGUUGUAGUAUGAUCUUAGUUAUUCUAGCGAAACGCGGUAAAAUACAGUUGAUGUGGCCUCAACCAACGGUGUUUGGACAUAAAAAAACCUUGAUUUCUCGUCUUACAUUGUGGUUACUAACAUUUUUUCCAAUCCUUUUUUUUUACUAAUUAAUUUAUGUGCAGGAUCUAAUAUUUUGUAAGGUUACCUUUUCAGUAAAUCAUUAGGAAGACCGUGCUCUAUGAAAACCCAAUCCUUAUAUAAUAGAGCAGACAAUUCUAAAGAAUAACGUCCCAUCAAGAAUGUCGAUUCUAUAAUACCCUCUGCAUUAACCAAGACAUUCCUUGCAAGUGCAUUAAUGUUCAUUGUGUCACGAUAAUGUGGAAGUAGAAGUUUGUGAAUAGGGUGAACCACACUAAGAUGCCUAUUUGUUGCUAUGAUGAAUGGCUCAACAACAGCAUGAGUGUUCAACCUGUUACACAUGUAGAUAUUAAUGAAUUACUCAUAGAUUGAUGAAAUUAAAUACGUUUGAUUCUAGAAAAACUCAUCAACAUAAUUCGUACCAGUGGCUGACAAGUUGAUGAAAACAGGAGUCAUUUACAACAACGUAAGCUUUGGCAAGUAGCCAAAUAGAAGCUUCAACACCUUCACUUGCAGGCAAGUAAACAUUACUAACAGGACCAUAACUAUCUUCUUGAGGAUGUGGCUUACUUAGCUCAAUGGCCAAUGGCUUCAAAGUUCCAUCAUUUUGUAAGAAAAUGAAGGUUCUCGUAGCAUAUGCCUUUGUAUCAGUUGAGUUUAUUUUCCUCAAAUAUGGAAAUAUUGGGUCAUGGUGAUCAAGUAUGUAAAGCCUGUUGUUUUGGAUAGCCUAUUCAAAAAAAUAUAAUUUAGUCAUUGUAAUUAUUUGAAUCAUAAAUAACCACAAAAUAACAUUGGCAAAGAUGUAUAUUCAUGGUAUUAAUGUUAAACUAUGUCAUUACUUCUUCUACAGUGACCCCAUCCAUGUUUAGCUGUAACUGUUCUUCGGUUAUUGUGCUCGUAUUAUCACCGUAGAGUUGGGUAUCUAGCUUGCUCUUUGGUGGGAACUCCUACAAUAAAUAUAGAAAGUAAUAAUGAAGUUAACAAUUAAAAAUAGGAAAAUGUUAUUUCUAGCGAAGGAAAUAUGGCUGCUCCUAAUUCUUGAAGAUUUCGUGAUGCUAUCUUUCGGGAAAUAUGGUCAAAAUAAAAAUUAAAUUUUCUGUUCGCAAAGAAAUCGUUAAACUAUCAAGUUUACCUGAAGUCUUUUGAUUAUGUGUGGAUUCACACCAGCAAUCAUCUCCCUUGCAAAUUCUCCAUCAGUCAUCCAUGCAGACUGAUUAACUGCUCAAAAUAAGAGCAUUUCAAAUGAUCCGUGAUAUUUUUAUUUAUUCUAUGAAAAUAUAUUGCUAGGACUGAACAUGUGUUUCUAAUAGAUACCUUCAACCACUUUAGGUCGUGGAAACUUUAGGGCCGAUUCACCAUCAGUUCUGAGGAGUUCCUGGAACACUGGUAUGGGGCUAAUUUUGCUAAGUGCAUUAGUAGGUAAUUCAAUUCCACCAUGAUAUAAUGAACGGACAUCUUCAAAAGUGUUAAACUCUGGCUGAUUGAAUUGUAAUGUAAGUGCAGAUCGUAAUUGAGGUAUAACAUUUUGAGAUGCUGAUUUCAGUAUAUAAACAAGAAAGUCUGAAGACUUCAAGUGGCCAAAUGAUUCAUCUCUUGGAAUGUAAACAAAGUCGCUCCGACUCUCACUUUUAUCAUCUGUAACAUACAAAUAGAAGACAUUAGCAACAAGAUCAAUAUCUUUAAAAUCAUAUAGAGGAAAUGUUUUGAUCAUAGGACCUUUAACUUAAGAUAGAGCAUAAAGUUUAUCACCUUUUUUAGCAUGUUUCCUGCCGGUUCUCCCCCUUCGAGGGUAAGGCAAGUUAUUGGAUCCUCCAACAACGGGACGAGCCAAGCUUUCUUUCUUGUCAGGAUCACCCAAGUCAUUGUAAACAUCGUAGUCAUAGAUCCUAUCCGAUUCUUUGCGCUCACCCGUUCCAUCUCCUCUUAAAGUCUUCAAUUCUUCUUGUCUGUAGUAGACUAAUGGAGCUGGUGUUUCGCUUGGAAGGUACGUCUAUAUUUAUAUUUAUUUAUCGGUGUCAAAUUUUGAGAAAUAUAAUUUGUAUUAGCAUGUUAAAGAAAUAUGAUUUUUUUUCAUUACCUUGUUCGUAAAGAAGAUGCGUUUCGUUUUAUACUUUUUAGCAUUGUAAAUCCAUGAGUUGCAAACAAAGUUGAUGGUUCCAUGGAUGGGAAUAUCUUCAAGCGUCAAACUUACAAGGAAGAAUUCUCCUAGCAUGAAAUUUUCAAUAUAAAAUGCUCCUGGAAUUCCCAUCUCACUGUCCCAUUCAAAAUGAACAUCAAAUGCAGAUUGCCCUGCUCCCAAAAUUGGUAUGGAGGUAACAAGACCUUCUAAAUAUGUUUUUUUUCCCACUUUACCUUUUCCACUUCCUACAAAUAUGUCAUAAUGCUUAAUUUAUGUCAAUAUAAACAACUUAAUCUUUUCUUAUGCUAAGUGCUAAAUUUAUGUUCACCCAAGUUGCUUAGAUUAUAUCAAAGUGAAAUAAUUCCUAAUUUCCUACAUAUAUUUUAGUAAUAGUUGAUUUAUUAUUUAAAAUAAGUUACGUCAAAGUGAUAAUCACAAAAAUAAAAAUAAAAAUUUAUAAUAAAACAAAAGGGAAAAUAAAUUGAAUCUUAAUGGACUCAGGAUCAAAUUCUUGUAAAAAUUAAAAUAUAAAGACAAUUUUCAUUUGGAUCCUUUGUAAAGCCAUUCAUUUAAAAACGAUAAACUUUGAAACUUAUAUCACCUGCAGAUUUAAAAAAUGGUGAGGCCUAGGUUGCCUUUGAAAACUCAUGGGCAAUUUACCUAAACCAAUCAAAAGUUUUCAUGUGUACUCCAUUAGAAUAAUAACAUUUAUUAUUUUAUUUUGCAAAAAUUUAGCAAGUAUUUUAUUAUUUGCAUAUUCACCCCAUCUUAAAUUAAUGAUUUUUUACAAUUUAAACCAUCACAAUAAUUAAAUUUCACCUCUAAUUCAAUCACUCUCCAAACCUCUUUUUUAGCUUGGCAAAAAUCAUUAAAAAUUAAAAUUAUCACCCCUGAGAAUCAAACCUGGAUGCUCCCACCUAUUUAAAAUGUACUCUGGAACCACUUGAUCAAUACAUUUUUUAUGAAAUAAUUUGGAAUUCAAAAUUAUGUUAUUAGUGAGCAAAUUAUUUUAUUUUUAUUUGCAGUGCCUUUAUAACCUAGCUUUAGUGAGAAAAAAAAAUCAUUUUAUGUGUGUAUAAUUAUGAAGUAGUAAAUUUUUCUUAAGAAAAAUGAAUUCAUUCAAUUGAUUUUUUAUAUUUUAAAUUUCAUUCUUUUUUAUAAAUUCAUACUUUUAUAUAGAUUCGAUGACCUACGACAAUGUUUCAUUUGUGAUCCACCGAAUUAUGAUUUAUUUUAGGUACUAUUUUUCAUUUGGAUCAGAUAAAUUGUUUAAAGGUAAUAAUUUUUUUUUUUGCAAGGUCUUAUAAGUUAUAACCUAGCUUUAGUAAAAAAAAUCAUUUUAUAUGUGUAUAUUUAUGAAAUAGUAAAUCUUUCUUAAAAAAAAUAAUUCAUUCAAUUGAUUUUUUAUAUUUUAAAUAUCAUUCUUUUAUAUAAAUUUAUAAUUUUAUAUAGAUUCGAUGAACUACAACAUUGUUUCAUUUGUGAUCAAACGAAUUAUGAUUUAUUUUAGGUACUAUCUUUCAUUUUGAUCAGAUAAAUUGUUCAAAGGUAUUAUUAUUAUUAUUUUUUUUGCAGUGUCUUAUAAGUUAUAACCCAGCUUUAGUAUAAAAAAAAUAAAUCAUUUUAUAUGUGUAUAUUUAUGAAAUAGUAAAUAUUUCUUAAAAAAAAAAAAAUGAAUUCAUUCAAUUGAUUUUUUUUAUAUUUUAAAUAUCAUCCUUUUAUAUAAAUUCAUACUUUUAUAUAGAUUCGAUGACUGAUGGGAUAAAACCGCAAGUGCACGAUUCUACCAGAAUUCAGGGCAUUACAAACGCAACAUGUGGCAUAAAAACAUUACUUUAUAUGUAUAUACUAUUGAUUUUCCUGUUCAUUUAAAAUAUUUUAUUUGCUUAAUUGCACUUUUGGACCCCUAUCUUUUCAAAAGUUGCGGUUAUGGAUCCCUAACUAAUUUAAAUACAAAACAGUCCCCUAUGUUUUGAUUCUUUAGCAGUUUUGGACCCCCAAGGCAAAAAAAAAAAAAUUUGACAAGUGGCACCUCACUUAGGGUGCCACGUCAGCGUUGACCGAGUCAACAAUGAAUUGGGGUCCAAAAUUGGCAAAAAAUCAGAACAUAGGGGGCUGUUUUGUAUUUAAAUUAGUUAGGGGUCCAUAAUCGCAACUUUUGAAAAGAUAGGGGUCCAAAAGUGCAAUUAAGCCUAUUUUAUUUACUAUUUUAUCCUUUAAUAAUAUUAUAUUAAAUUUGAAUUAGAAAAAUGAAAUCUCAUUAAAAUAGGAAAUAUACCACUACAACAGGAACAAUACUAUAUAUACUUUUUUUUUUUUUUUUUACAAAAUACUAUAUAUACUAUAUAUGAAGGGAAUAGAGACUUUGGGCUGAAUUUUUUAUAAUUUCAAUUAUACCCUUUAAACAAAUUUUCCUAUAUUAAUGUUCCAUUCUUGGUGGUAUUAAAAAAAGAUAAGAAUUUAUAUUAUAUUUGUUAAACUACUGUGUUGUUGUGGUAAAAGAUAAACAUGAUUUUUUUGGGUUUGUUACAAUUUUAAUUUCACAAAUAUUUGUACUUAUAAUUUUAAUCAAAAUCAAAAUUUCAUAUAAAAUACCGUUCAUAAUUUACACAUGUCACGUGCCCGUUUUUUCGCUAGUUAUAUAUAGUAUUUAUACUAUAUAUAAAGAAAACUAUCUCUUUCAGCACUUUUGGACAGGAUUUUUCUUUCCAAAAAUACCCUUAAUUUUUAAUACAAACAACACAUGUAACAAAUAAAUAAGAAUAAAUUUAAAUAUUAAAACAAAUGUAACAAACACGAUAUGUGUGUUUGGUUUUUUUCCUUUAUCAUUUAAAAAGUGUAACAAACUAUAUGAGUAUAUUUAAUAUUUGCUUUUUUUAUUAUCCCAAUUAUACCAUUAAAACAAAAUCCAUAAUCAUCAAUCAACAACAAGAAGAUCCAACAUUUUAAAAAAUAAAUAGAUAAAUUUAAAGGAAUUUUUUUAAGAUUCUUAUGUUGUUACAUAAUAUUUGGACAAGAUUCUAAUUCUCAUUAAUCUUUUCUCCCACGUCAAGAAUAUCUCUUUGCUUCUUCUGAUUCAUAUUCAUUCAUUCCUUAUUAUUCUAAUUUUUAACUCAAUUCAUCUUCCUAUAGAUUUGCAUCGUUUUUGCUGAACCAAGAAGGACUGUUAAGUAGAAGAAUUCCAGAAUCAUAGAUGUAAUCACAAUAGUUCUCAAUGACAAUGCUUAAAAAAAAUUGAUUUUUUUCCCAAUCUAUCUCUCUCAAUCCCGAUCUACUCUCUAUCCCCUUAAACCCUUUUUUCCUAAACUAUUCCUUACCUCUCAUGCUCUCUCUUCUCCAUCGGAUACCAUUUCCCCUUCUAUCAUCUUCAUUGCAUUCUCCUCUUUCUCUUUCAUUUUUGACUUCUCAAUAAAAAAUCAAUCGCAGCUUCAAUUUUUUAUUGUCGAAUUCGAAUUCGAAUUUGGGGUGCGUGGGUUCGAUUGAGAGAGAUAGGGAUCGAGAUGAUGGAUAUAUAGACAACGGUGUUGAUGGUGGUUUUGAAAAAGAGGUUUUGAUGGUGGUUAUCUGGAUUUUCUCUGGAUUUUUUUUUAUGAAGGUGAUGAAUGAGGGAAAGAAAGAAGAUGAAGUAUGGGAUAUAAUGCUAGAUGUUGUUGGUUCACAGUAAGAUACAGUGGACAUGCAUGAUCUAACAAUCUUUCUUUAUUAAAAAAGAUCAAACGGUUUAUAUUAAAAAAAAUAAUAGGAUCUAUAGUGGACCAGGGGGUUCACCAUAGAUAUUUGAGGUUAAAGUUAAUUUAUUUGCAAACUGUGGGAAAAGUGAAGGACUAAAACGUGAGUUUUAUUAAUUGUGAGACCAAAAUAAAACCAAAGAAUUAAAUAAGCCUUUUUUUUUACUAAAGCUAAGUUAUAACUUAUAAGACAUUGCAAAAAAAAAAAAUUAAUACCUUUAAACAAUUUAUCUGAUCCAAAUGAAAAAUAUUAUCUAAAAUAAAUCAUAAUUUGGUUGAUCACAAAUGAAACAUUGUUGUAGUUCAUCGAAUCUAUAUAAAAGUAUGAAUUUAUAUAAAAGAAAGAUAUUUACAAUAUAAAAAAUCAAUUGAAUGAAUUUAUUAUUAUUUUUUAAGAAAGAUUUACUAUUUCAUAAAUAUACACACAUAAAAUGAUUAUUAUUAUUUUUACUAAAGUUAAAUUAUAAGUCACUGCAAAAAAAAAAAUAAAAAAAAUUGCUCACUAAUAACAUAUUUUUGCAUUCCAAUUUAAUUCAUAAAAAAUGUAUUGGUCAAGUGGUUUGGGAAAACAUUUCAAAUAAGUGGGUGCAUUUAAGUUCGAUUCCCACGAGUGAUAAUUUUAAUUUUUAAUGAUUUUUGCCAAAUUGUUCAACUAAAUUUGAAUGAAUGCAUGAUCUUUGGCAUUAAAUUCCAAAUUUGAUAAAAAAAAAAGAGAGUGAUUGGAUUAGAGGAGAAAUUUAAUUAUUGUGAUGGUUUAAAUUGUAAAAAAUCAUUAAUUUAAGAUGGGGUGAAUAUGCAAAUAAUAAAAUACAUGCUAAAUUUGUGCAAAAUAAAAUAAUAAAUAUUAUUAUUCUAAUGGAGUACAAAUGGAAAAUUUUGAUUGGUUUGGGUAAAUUGUCCAUGAGUUUUUAAAGGUAAUUUAGAAAAAACCUUAAAAAAUUGGUCUGUUACUUGUUUAGCGUACAAUUUAGCGACCGAUUUCAAAGUUUGGUAAAAUGCAAAGUUCACUAAAAUUGUGAAAAUGCUACCACGUUUUUUUCCCCCUCAUCUCAAUUAUCUACUGAUGUGAAAUGUUAUAUGUUAUUAGGAAUUCUCUCAGGUACUUAUGGGUCUGUUUGGUUAACCCCAAAAAAGAGCUUUUAGCUUCUAGCUUAUAGCUUAUAAGCUCGUUUGAUAAAAAAAACUCUGUUUGGUAACACUUUUUUACCAUGAGCUUAUAGCUUAUUUCACGAGCUUAUAAGCUAUUUUUCAGAAGCUAUUCCAAGUAGCGUUUGAGCUUAUAGCUUAUAGCUUCUCACUUUUUCUUCCAAUUUUACCCUUAUUAUUUCAUUUAAAUUGUAUUUUUAUCCAUUAUAAUUUUUAUAAUAAGCUACGUAAUAAAGACUACUAUCCCUUUAUUCCAAUUUUUGUAUAUAUAUCAGCUGGCCUUUUUUUUUUUUUUUGAAAAAAUAUAUACCUUCGUUUUUUUUUUACGAAACAAAAUAUUAUUAUUCUAUUAGUGUUACUUUUUUUUUUUUUUUGAGAUAAGUGUUAUUUUCUUUAUUCUCUGUUAUUAUUAUUACUCUAUUAGUGCUACUUUUUUUUUUUGUUUUUGAGGUAAAUGUUAUUUUUUUUAUAAAGUGGAAACACUUAAAUGAUAAUAAAUAUAAGAUAAAAUUUUAGUGAAUAAAAUUUAAUUUAAUUUAUAAUACAUAGGAUAUAUUAAAUUAAUAAAUUUAAAGUAUUUUUUUAAAGAAAAAUUAGUUUACAAAAUUACAAAUACUUAAAUUAAUGAUAUAAUUUUUAUUAUGAAUUAAGAAUACCCUUUAUGUCAUUUUACAUUUAUCAGCUAGUUGAACCGCUAUUUUUACCAAACACUUCAGUUAGCUUAUCAGCUAUAAGCUAUCAGCUAGCUUAUCAGCUAAAAGCUAUCAGCUAACUUAUCAAUUAUCCGCUAUUUUUACUAAACAGAGCCUAUGUCCACCGAUGUGAAAGGCAAACCAAAGUUUACUAAAAUUUCAAAAUUGUCACUGUGUGCAUCUUUCCCAUUAGGUAUUUUCUGUGCCGAUGUGAAAACCCCUGUUGUAAGAUGUAUAUUUUCUAGUAGUGGUUAUGCCAGCUUGUAGCCUUAGAUCUCUCCAAGGAAGAAAAAAGCUACUAAAAAAACUUGAAUUAGUAAGAAGAACUUUAGAGGAAAAAAAUCUCCCUAAAUUUAGUGACCAAAGUAUAGGGAAAAAAAAUAUUUUUCCAUCACUAAUUUUCGUCCCAAUUUUAUUUGUUUUAUUUUUAUAGUGAAAAUUCUACCUCAUAUAUUAACAAAAGAAUAAAGUUUAAAGGAUCAUCAAAUCAUCAGCACAUUAUAUCUUCACCUAAAAUCAUAAGACACUUACUAUAUGAAUCACUUUUUAUAUGGCAUUUGUUAAGAUAGACUCAUUUAAUUUUUAGAAGUACUACUUUAACAAGUUAAAACUAAAAUAAUAUAUAAAACAAGGGUUUAAGUUAGCAACUUUUGCAGGCAUUUGUUAGAAUAUAUUCACUCAUUUUUUUAAGGGACAUCCACUCAUUUUUUUUUUAGAAGGACUAUAUGUUAGAAGUGAUAAUGAAAAAUUUGUUAAUUAUACACACAGUAAGGUGCAUGUUGCUAAAAUACUCCAAAAAGCUUCCCCCAAACACAUAUUUCAAGGUGCAAAGUUCAAAUUCUUUUAGGAGAGUUGUAAAAUGAUCAUUAGUGUCGAGUAGUAGUAUGAAAGAUUAAGAAGUAAUUACCAUCAACAUUGGUAGCACUAAUCAACCUGAGAGCCACUGAACGGCCAAAGGAGGAAGUGUAGGUAUCAAUUAUAGAGCUAGUGAUAUCACCAACAACAUUGAAUCCACCUUUGAUUAAACCAGUGGCACUUUGAGCUGCAGUGAUUUCGUUGAUAUCCAAUACAUUCUUAUGCAUCAAUAUCACUGUCCCCUUCACCUUUUGGCCUCUGUUAAAGAUACUUUUCACCCCUGAAUACAUCUUAGUAAUUUACUGCUUUUAAUUUUGUAUUCUUUUGCAAAUUAAUGAAAGAAAAGUUUGUGGUUUGCAUGUUGCAACCAUCUCAUUAUUUAUAGGGCCAAAUUAAUGUUCUGAUUCAAAACUAUAUUAUUUUUUUAGAGACUGAUUCAAAUCAUAUGAGUCAAUGUUCUUUCCAUAUUUUAUCCUCAUCCAAAAUAAUUGAUCUACUUGUAAAAAAAAAACAUUUACCAAAAUAAUUUAUCUUUUUCAAUUUGCAUGCAACAUUAACGACUUCUUUUCUACUGUACAAUGGAAUUAAUAUCAUCAAUUUCAACUCAAUAUCUUCAAUUUUUUAUAUAUAUGGUAAAAGUUAAUACAUGAUAAAAGUACUUCAUUAAAAGCAAUCUUCUCUUUACUUUUAACAUAGGUGCAGUUUUUUUUUUUGAAUGAACAUAGGUGCAGUGUUAAAAAAAAAUGGAGUAUUCCUUAAACGAAUUAGUUGUCUUUUUUUAUGUGACUAAAAUGAAGUCGUCUUUGUUUAAACAUACUCUUCUCACAGAAGAUAACCAUGGUUCAGUGCAAUAAUAAUAAUAAUAAUAAUAAUAUUAGCAAGAGGACGUUGAGGACUAUAAUUUGAGAGGUAGGUAGGCGAAUUUACCGGGGCAAUAAUGCAAUGAGAAGAGCACCCAAUUGCAGUGCUUGGCCCCAAAGAUGUUCAAAACUAGACUAUUAGUGUGUGAAGAGAAAAACAAAAGAAGAAAAACAUGAUUUCUCAGUAUGUCCAGUUAUAUUCAAAUUUGUUAUAAUACAAUGUCAAUUGUUGAUUGAAACUAGAGAUUAGUUCAGGUAGCAGAUGAUGUCCUCGAUUAUGAUUCUCUUUCUUUGCACGAUUGACGUUGAGGAAAGAAUUUUCUCCCUCAGCUACGGGUUCCUGAAAUUAUUUAGUAAAAUGUUAAAUAGAGUUGUGUUUUUGGCCAAGAAGUGUAUGUAAACUAAGAUAAAGAGAUAAUGAUAAAUGGAUAAAUUAGCGAAAAAAAUAGCUUGUGUUUGAUUGUGUGUUGACUGUUAACUCGGUCUAAAGUCUUCAAGGUUGAUGUACUAGCCAAUAGACUCGAGAAAGAAUCGACCAACCCUCUUUCGGCUAAAAUAACACUUGCAUAACCUUCUAUCGGCUCGGAAAAUUCUCCCAACCAAAUGUCAUUUUGUGUUGCGUUAUCACUUGAAUUUCGAGUGAUGAGAUGACGCAACGUAAUUGAAAUGGUUACGAACAAUAUCAUCAUUACGUCAUAAAAGUAGAAAAGUAGUCGUUGGGAUGAAUCAAUUUGAGAUCUUUUGUGUAAAAGUAUUUCAUUACUCUCAUUUUUUUUUGGGUAUAAUUACUCUCAUUUUAACGUCUUCUACUUAUAUAUAUGAUUAAAUUUUGAUACAUUAAUAUGAGAAGAGUACUUUAUUAAAAAUAAUUUUAUCUCUCUUUCAUUUAUACAUUGUUCUUCAUCCAUGUGAAUUAGUUAACUAAAUCGGUUAUUUAUGAGGGAGAGAGUAUUUUUCUUUUGAACUAUAAUAUUUAUUUUGUGUAAACCUUCUGAUUUUGGGAAAAUAAACCGCUUUUUUUUUUUUAAAUAAAACUCUAAACUCCAGUUUUCAGUACGUAGGUAAGUUUGAAAUCAUCAAUUGAUCAUUGACAUGCAAAAACUAUUAGCAUGAGGCUAAGCGUGGCAGAUAAAAUAACAAUGAAUUUGUUUAAAAAACAGUAAUAAAGUACUGAAGGUAAAAUACUUUAUCAUAAAAAAAUAUAAUAAUAAUAUAUGUUGAUUGAUCAUAUUUUGACAAAUAGAUCUAUUGAGCUAUUGUUAAUUACAUUCUUACGUGUAUACAAAUAAAAAUAUUCCCUGUACGAGGUUGUCUUUUUUGUUUUUGAUUUUGAUGGUACGAGGUCGUCUUUCUUUCUUUUGUUUAAACAUACUACUUUUCUCACAUAAGGUAACCAUGGUUCAAUGUAAUAAUAUCAAUAAUUGUACAAGAGUUAAUUUAACCGUGCGAUUAUUGCACAUUACGAUGCUCUCCAUUUUCAAUUGUCACUAUUUACUUGUUAACAAAAUUAAAAAUAGUAGAAGUAGGACUAUACUAGAUUCAAUAAUAUUUUAACUUUUAAAAAAUUAAAUUCAUUAGUUUUGACCGUUUCCUAAUACAAUAUAUUGAUAAAUCCUUAAUCAAUGUCUUAAAUACACUUUUUAGUAUUUUUCUUAAAUUAAAUAGUAGGUCAUAUCAGAUUUUUAAAAUGUCACAUUCAAACCUAAAUAAUAAACCUACGACACGCCACAUGCUAGACAUUGAUCUUAAAAAUUUUGGUAGAUUAGACUUAGAUUUUGCAAAAUUUAGUUCGGCCUAACCUAUUAUAUUUUGAAGAUUGCUCUAAUCCAUGUCCUAAUUAUUCAUCCCAUUAAUUCAGCUGUUCAAUAUUUUUCAACGGCAAUUACUGCUACGGGCAUUUUUAAGACCAGUUCAUUUACUUUUUAAAUUGUUUUAAUAGCAAUUUUCAUUAUUAUAUGUACCCCAUAUACGCUUCCCAUGACGUCCAACGCUGACAGCAGCAUGCAAGUGCACUUCACGUGAUCUUGUUCCUUAUUGCAUAGUUAGUUUUUUAUUUUCUAAUUUUACUAUACCGAACUCUAACAUUUUCACACUCAAAGUUCUUGCCCUGUCUCCCGUUUUUUUCUUUUCUUUUUUUAACAAAAACAACUUAUAUAUUUUCAUUCAUCAAAUCAAAUUGAAAGUAAUACAAGAUGGAAUUAAAUAAAAGAUAUGAUGCCGAAUAUACAUAGAUGUGAUAUAAGAUAGAAUAACGAGCAUAUAAUUAUAACACUUAAUAAUAUAUGAGUGACAUAAUUUGUUUGUGUUCAAGCUAAACUCAUCUUAAAGUUUUGAAACUGUUCUACUAAUAAUUUAACUGUGCGAUUGCGCAUUACGAUGCCCUCCAUUUUCAAUUGUGACUAUUUCCUUCAUCGCUCAUAUGAAUUAGCUGUUAAAAGGUAGGUCGUAUCAGACUUUCAAAAUGUCAUAUUUAAACCUAAAAAAUAAAUUUAUGAUAGACCGCAUGCUAGAUACAGGCCUUAAAUUUUUUAACAGAUUAUCCUUAAGUCUUGCAAAAUUUAGUUCGACCUGCCUAUUUCAAAAAUUGCUCAAAUCUAUUUCAUAAUUGUUCAUUCGCUUAAUUCAUUGGAAGUUAACUGUUGCUCGAUAUUUUUCAGCGGCAGUUCAGAUCGGUUUAUUCAUUUUUUAAGUUGAUGUAAAUAGAAAUAUGUACCCCAUAUUCGCUUCCCAUGACGUCCAAUGCUGAUAGAAGCAGCAUGCAAGUGCAAGUGUAUUAUAUUACCGUAUAGUCGCUUGAAAUGAAACCACACACUUCACGUGAUCUUAUUCUUUAUUGCAUUCGUUUUUUCUUCACUAAUUUUACUAUCCCAAAACUCUAACCUUUUCACACUCAAAGUUCUUGCCCUCUCUCCCUCUUUUUUGUUUGACCAAAAGCAACUUAUAUUUUUUCAUUCAUCAAAUCAAAUUGAAAGUAAUAUAAGAUAAAAUUAAAUAAAAGAUAUGAUAACAAGCAUACGAUUUUAACACCCUUAAUAAUAUAUGAGUGACAUAAUUUGUUUGUGUUCUUGCCAAAUUUAUCUUAAAGUUUGGAAAUUGUUCUACUUAUAUCUACAAUUGGACAAAAUACCGUCAAACUUCGAUUGAUUGCUAGAAUUAUCCAUGAUGUCUUCUGCCACUAACUUACAAUCUAGUUCAAUUUUCACGGUUGAUAAUCCUAAUUCUCGAACAUUCAUAGUGAUAUGUCCGGUGAAGAUGAGAUAAAUAUGGGGGUGGUUCUCUCCGGGAACUGCAUUUGUUCUCCGGAAAUUUUUCUUUAAGUUGUAAAUAGAUCAUUUAAGUUGUAUAUUUAUCGCACUCUUAUCCUUUUAAAGAUUUGUUUGAAACUUAAAAACUUAAAAAACUUCAUAUAGGUGUAUUAAAUUAACAAUUUAAAAGAUCUAUUUGAAUUUUUUAAAAAAAAAAAAACAAAAAAACUUAAAGGACAUAUUUAAACCUUAAAAAACUUAACUGAUCAACCUAAUAUUUUUGUCAAACUCAUAAAAAAGCGUUCAUGGCAUACGGUGUUUUCCUUCCAUAAAAAUAAAAAAUAAAAAAUAUCUGAAUGUAUUUUUGUUUUACAAAACUCACAUGGCAUGUUGUAGGAGAUUUGAGAUGUGUGUGGGGGUGGGUGUAAAAUUCCAUAAACCUGAUAAAUCAAAAUUGUUAAAAGUGAGAGUAAAUUGGAAUGGAAAAUUUAAAAAUUGUGGAAGUGGGGAACCACGUAAAAAUAAACUUUUCCAACUUAAACCAUAUGAUAAUUUCUUAAUCUGUCCUCUCAUGUUAUCAGCAGUACGCUUUUAAUAGUGUUUUAUAUUUGAAAUAUACUGCCAGAAAUACAUUUAUGAUAAUAUAAAUUGAUAGAUUUAAGCAAUAUAAGAAGAUUCAUAAAUUAUCAAAACAUGCGCAAUGCUAAAGCCCACAACAUGCAGAUGCACAAAGGAGGAUUCGAUUUGUAGUGCAAAGUUGUUGGGGCAAUGAAAAUCGGAUUUAAUUUGUAUGUAUAGAUAGUAUAAAACUUGUUUACACAUGUAUCAAAUCAAAUUACGCCAUUAAAAUAUUUAUGGAGAUAUUUAAACAAUUCACUUAUAAAAACGACACUUUAUUCUAAUUUGAUUGGAUGGAUAUAUAAAAAGAAAUUACACUACUUGUUCAGAAAAAAAAAAAGAAAUUACACUAUCGGUGCAUAGAAAUGACACUCAUGAAAAUUACCCUUCCUACCAAACAGUAUAUAAAGUCUCUAUAUUAUUGCCAACAACCAUAAAUUAUUGAGGAGGUAGAGGUUAGCCAUUUUAGCACGUUUGUGUUAUUGAGAUAACAAAAUUGAAAAAAGUCAAAAAUUGAGUUAUUUAAAAUGUAGUAGAUUUUGAAAGAAAGAAAAAAAGUUCCAAUGAACUCAAAUUUUUGAGUUUUUGAGAUAACCAAUUAAAAUUGUUCUUGGGACGUAAAACACGCUGAGUAUUAGGGGUGUUCAAAUCCAUACCAAUCCAAAAUAAAACCGCAAACUGAUCCAAAAAAACCGAAAACCGCAAAAAACCAAAUAUUUUUGGAUGUGUUUGGAUGUUGUUUUGGAAAAACCGCUAUGAUCGGAUCGGAUUUCGGAUUGCGUUUUCAAAACCAAACCGAACCGCAAAAGUAAAUUUUUAUACUUAUUUAUUAUUUUAUUAGUAUUAUAUAUUGCACUAAUAUAUUGCUUAUUGAUAUUUAAUCUUAUAUAUUGCAUUAAUUUAAUCUAUAUUAUUACUACUUCAUCUAUUUCAAAUAUAAUCAAUCAUUUUUAUUGUGUAAUGUUAACUUUUUAAAUAAAUUUGUGUCAUAUUUUGUAUCAAACCUAUUAUUUUAUUGUGUAUGAGUAAUAUUAAUAUUUAAAAAAAAAAUUACAUGUUACACUUUGGAUAUCCAAAAACCGAUCCAAAUUAAACCGCAUAUAUUUGGAUCGGAUCGGUUCGGAUUUUUUUAACAUAAUCAUCCAAACCGAACCGAACCGCACGUGAUUUUUAUUUUGGAUCGGUUGAUUUUUAACCUCAAAACCGAUCCAAACCGGACCGCGAACACCCCUACUGAGUAUGUAAGCUUAAUAUUGUUUUUCUUUUACAAAAAGUAAAUUUAAGGGGGUGUUUCUAUCAAGUAUAAUAUUUACAUUUAUGGGAAUACAUAGGUACGGAAUGAGUAUAUCCAUAUUUUUUAUAAGAUUGAGAAAUCAUUAUUCUUAGGUAUCUAAGGUUCUUAGGAAUGAAAUAACUUUUCUUAACUUUAAACAAUCUUACGAAAUUAUUCCCAAGGUAAAGGAUGGAAAAGUAGGUUCCCAUCAAAUUUUGUACACUUUUUUUCUAAAAGAAUAUAACUUGCAAUUCCCCUAGGAGUGUUCAAGAGUGUGCCAAACAUUUUUUUUUUUUUUUAAAUACCCAUGAAUAGAACUCCCGUCAUGAUAUCUUUAACUGUGAUUCCCUUUCUUCAAGCGAUUAAUGGUGAGGAUGGAACUUUGUUUUUAGGUUUUUUUUGCUACUAGACUAGUUGGAAAUGCAUGUAAAAUAACAACGGCAGAAAAAUAAAAGUGAUAAAAUAGGGAAAAUAGUUUGUGAUUGAUUGAUUAUGUGUUAAAUACAUUGUAUAGAGUAUGUACUUAUAGGCAAAACUAUUUCUACUGGCCACAAGAUAUUACCUACAGUGUUUAACCUUGUUCGACUAUUUUCACGAGUAAGCAUCAGCUUUCCCACGCUCGACUGUCAGCUUCCCAAUUAAUGGCAUGACAUGUUGACAAGGUCCAUAAUGUUUAGUACCUCAUUGUCCAGAUCUGCUUGAGCUUUGACUCAAUAUGAUGUCUUCAAGACAAUCGACCUACCCUUGUUUGGCUAGAAUAACACUUGCAUAGAUUUCCAUCGCUUGUCUAUUGAUUUCAGCUAACAUGACAUAUAUAAUUACUUUUAGGUGUAAACAUAUGCUUCCUUGCGUUGCAUUUUCGAUUGGCUUCCAAGUGAUUGGGAUGAUGCAACAUAAUCGAACUGAUUGCGCGUGAACAAUGCGAUCUUUUAUGAAUGGAUAUGAACUAAUAACCCUGUCAAUCCAAUAACUCCAACGGUUACCGCAGUUUUCUCAAUUGGUAUGGUGAUAUCUUCGCCUAUUUGAAAGACGAUCUUUACGUAUAAAUAACUUUUUAUAGACCUGGAUUAUUCCCCAACUUUUCACCCUUUGUCGUUCUUUUUAUGUGGCUUCCUAUCCACUAAAUAAUUCAUGACUAUUACUUUUUCUACCCUGCUGCCUUCUCGCGCGCCCUGCAAAAUUUACUAAAAUACCCCUGGUCCGGAUUACAUAAUCCGGAGCAAAUUGUUAGUGAUAUCCGAAAAACGAAAUUCGGACCAGAUGUUAUGCGUUUUUUUGUGUCUUUCUUUGAUGUCAAGGGUUUCUGUUGACCGUUAUAUGAACCCCACACAAGUUGCAAUGUUAUUCCAGGGUUCAUACGAACAGUCAAUAAUGACCAUGACACCACUAACACCCCAAAAAAACUAAAAACAUUUGAAGAAAAUGGAAGAAAAGAGGUGAAAUGAAGAAUGAAGGUAUUUGUUGAAGAUGGAAGCAUGUUUAUAGCCUAAAACAAGUCCUAGGUCAUUAGUACAGUAAAUGAAAACGUGUUAGUGGUUGUAACCGUCCAAACCCACAUUAAUGGCUCUCUUUCAAAAGAAUCCAAUGCUGAAGCUUUCAAGAUUUUACAUUCCGGAAUAACCUUAGCCCUACAGAAAGUGCCAACUUUUCCCUUGUUCACCAUUAUCGCAUUAAUCCGGAAAAUAUAUUCCGGAAAACAAAGGUGCAUUUCAGAUUUUAUUUUCUGGAAUGCAACAAUGUCAUGGCCAGUGGUCUGCACCACACAUUUUUGUCGAUGGUCAGGUAAUAAAAAACGUGUUUUAUCACGUUUUUUGACUGCAUUUAUGGUCUCCCAACCGUUUUUGCCCCUCCCUAUAAAUAACCUUCCAAACCCCACAAUUUCUCACACCAUCCUCUCUCACCCUCUCCUCCUCUUCUUCCUUCUAAAACCAUCGUUUUUCAUCGUUGGCCUUUCAUAGAUAAGGGUCUCGUUGAAAACUUUCAAGGUUUGUAUGAACGGUCAAUGUGGAUGGAACAGUGCUGCAACGAAGUGCGGUUCAUCUGAGGGUCAUGUGGGUCAGUGUGGUUCUUAGCUUGGCCUAUCUGGGCGUAAGUUUCAGCACCCCCACCUCCCUCAGGGACAUUGUUUUCUUCUUCCUGCCUUCCUCUUCCCUCCUCCUCCUCCGGUUUUCCUCCAUUAGGGAACCUACUGCUAUGUCCUAUCGCAUAGUAGUGAUUAGGAUCUUAGGAGAUUAGAAUUAGGCUCUUAGGAUAUUAGAAAUAGAUUUAGGAUCUUAUAUAAUAAGCUUAAAAAGCUUGAAAAUUAUUGUAAUGUAUAGUUCAUAUAUUAAUAAAAUGAGUUAUUUUUAUGUUUGUGUCCUUUUAUUUCUGUUUUUUAUUUUAUUUUACGAAUUGUAAAGCUUAAAAUUGCAAAAGUUAUGGUAAAAUAUUAUUCCGGAUUUUCAAAUCCGAUUUAAAAAUACAUUCCGGAAAACGAAAUUCGGACCAAGGGUAAAAUUGAAAAAAAAAAAAAAAAAGGGUGUGCAAGGAAAGAUAUAGGGUGGAAUAGGUAAAACUCACAAUUCAUUUUGGUGCGUCCUUCAACCCUCAAACCCAAUAGUCAGAGAGCUUUGCCAAUGAUUAUUCUCUAGUUUUACACCCGAUAAUUUUCUUAAUCUUGUCAUUUUCAAGAUAAAAGACCACUAAUUCAGAAAACGAGAAUGAGAAGGGAAGUGGCAAACGAACUUUGACUCGUAAAGGCAAAUUAAAGCAUGACAAUGUCUAGAUAGGGGAAACUUAAAUUCCUAACAUUUCAUGGGAAGGUAAUAAUUGUCUCAAUCGAUUUCCAGAACUAACACUUCCUUCAUUUACUAAGUAAUUUCUUAUCCUUGUUUUUAAGAGUCUUUGUGCAAUUUUAUUUAAGGAUUUUUAGAAAAUUCUAAGGAGGUGCUGAUAGUUUAGUGAAGAGUCUAUGAUGUUUAGAGAAACCAUUUUAAGUCUUGUAUUUUCCUACCUAGACAACUCUAUAAAUGUCAUAAGUCUUUUUGUUAUAGACGCUAUGAGUUGAUUUUAUCACUAUGACUAGAAAAACUCAUUGGAUUAGUAUUGAAUGAUCAACUUCAAUGAUGUUGUUUGAACUAUAUGUAAUCGAUGAUGUCCUCUAUUAAUGCAAUCUGAAAUAUGCUUAUAAGGUAUACCUUGUGCUUAAUGAUUUUCAAUGCCUGAUAAACUCUGAAUUGAUUUUAAUUUAUAGUUCACAAUCAACACUUGUUUUUGUAACACGAACUAGGUAGUGUUCUUUAAUCAAUUUAUCUAGACAUAAGGUAUUAAUUAGUAUGGUCGGUAGUUUAACUGUCAAUGAAUCUUUUGAUAAAAUUAGUUUCACCUAAGAAAUUAGGGUUCUAUUUUAGAUAAAUGGGACGUCGAGGCAAGAAAUUGGUCGUGGUCUAUUUCUUUAAACUGUUGUGAACAUAGAAAUCAAAUUGUUAUUGUCUAGGAACUAGUAUUAUCAAAGAAAAUCUUUCUAUAAUUUAAUUUGCGAAACCAAAUCUUACGAAAACUCCCCCCAAUUUAACUUUUUAAUAAGUAUUGUUUAAUUGUCAAGUAUAAACAAUAAUAUUUGUGGAGAGGGAUCUUUAUAAACACUAUUACUUGAUCUGCCAAAGAGUCCAUCAAGCUUUUGGCGCCAUUGUUAGGGAAUCGUUGAUGAUCUCAACAAGGUAGCUACGCUCUACUUACAUGAUUUGUUUUUUUUUGUAAUUUAUUAUAAAAACAUAAAAAUAUUUACUUUUGGCUCUUUAAUCUUAGUGUGUGUUGUGCUAAAUAAAUAUUCUUGAGUGUUGUUAUGCGAGGUGGAAGCUCAGGUACCUUGUUAUUUGAUUCUGAGGUUGAGAAGAUUACAAGAGAAAACCAGAAAGAUUCUUUUUCUAUCUCAGUACCCCUCAAAUAAUCUAAAAAUACUAUCAGAGGGAGAACAUAGGCAUGGUUAGAGAUGGUUUAGCAAAGGAAACUCAAGUUUGAGUUUUCCCCCCAAAAUCCUAAAAUACUCUUUUUUUCCUUAUUCUUUUUUUUCUUCCAGAAUUAAUGAACGAUGGUGUGCAAGUCCUAUAUUUCACCACUUAUAUGUCACGCAGGUUCUAUUGUAACUUCUUUCAUUUAUUACUUUCGUUGUUCUUUUGCUUGAUCUAUUCUUUUUUCCAUGUCUAUUCUCUGUUCCGAUUUGUUUUGAUUUUGUGAUCGAUAUUAUCUCUACUGUUACUUCUUUCGGUUAUUGUAUCCCUUGGUGUUUGAUUAUGUUUCACAUUGAUAAACUUAAUAGUGUUUUUACUUUUUACUUGUUGAAGAGCUUACAUUUGUGUCUAUAGAGUUCUAUUGGAAGUAAAUUGUUUAUUUUUAUGUUUUCUUAUAUUUUUGUUUGUUUUUGUAUUCAACUUGGCUAUUGUAAUCACACCUCUGUUUCCGGUAGCUGAAUUAUUAUUGUCUAAAUUUGAUCAAAGGCAACCUAGCAAUUGAAUAAUCGAGCCUUGUCGGAAAGUGUCAUUGUCACCACUCAAUGGAUGAGAAACCAACAAAAAAGCCGGAUUAUUAGAAGAAUGAAUGUGAAAGAAUUGUUACCAAUCAUGGAAGUCAUGGGAGGUACAUAAAGUUCAACAAGAUCACAAAAGAAUAGCGUGAGAAGGAGAAAAAAGUUGUGCGAGAAAUCAGAGAGAAUUGAGGAAAAACUCAGUUGAUACCAUAUUUGAACCAUAUGAGACAAUUGAUUCCUGAAAUAAAAACAUUAAGGCUGCAUUUGAUACAAGAGGACUAGAAUGUUACAAGGUACAAACAGACACAAUAAUUCUUAUUGAUGUAAAGUAAAACAUUAACAAUAAAACAAACAUACAUAAUAACAUGAUCGUAAGUAGGAAGUGAGGGAAUGGAAUUCCUUCACAUCUGUUAUUCAAAGCAGCAACACAACAACCAUGAUCCACUUUAGAUGGAGAUACUAUUAGGAAUGCCUCGGCAAGUCAAUCCUUCCUCACUAGAAGGAUAAAGUAGAGUAUAUGGCAUCUUCACUGGUCCGUACCGAUUUCUCAAUGUCUCAUCAUUGUUCCUUUGAGUGAGUUUCUGUUCAAUUUCAGCCAACUUCUUUCCAAACCUCUUGAAGGCUUCUUUUGGUUGUGAAUCUGAAGUCCAAUUGUCACCUUCAAUUCUAUCUCCAAGGUAUUGCUCAUCAGAAGCAUGCCUUGACAAGACCUCUAUAAUGGUCAAGUCAGUAAGUGUAUCAUUCUUUGGUGUGAUUGUCCUCAAAUAAGACUUCUGGUAGUCCUUAGCAAGCUCAUCAUACUCAGGUGAUCCUUUCUCAGGCAUGAAUCUUCUACUCUUUGUUGGCCGGUUAAGGAUAUAUCCUCCAUAUGGAUAUUGUCCGAAAUUAACAGCUGCAUGAAGUGCUGAAGCAAUCCAUAUAAGGAUGGUGGAAGCUUCGAUCAACUCUUCACGGGUUUGCAUCUUAAACCACCAUGUGGCAUUCUUCAGGUCACCAUGACCAACCUCUACAAGUUCCUUCCAGAAUGCUUGGAGUUCAGCAUCUUGUGCAAUGGCAGCAUCAGACUUGUAAUAGAAAUUCACAUAUUCACCAACCCAUGACUUAAUGGCAGCCCAUAUUUCUAGUCCAUCAGAAGCAUAAGGAUAAUCCUCUAUCAGAAGGCGGAGACCGGUAGGAGAGGCUGGAUCCUCAACAGCUACUCCUCUAAAUAACAAGCAAGGAAGAAAUAUUAACAUACAAAAAAUAUGUUCUAUGGAGUUAUUAUUAAUUAAAGUGAUUUUAAUGAUCAUUUUACAACUGUUUUAGAGGAGAUUUAAGCCCGUAUAACAGAAAUUAUUAGUUAGAGUUUGUUGAUAAAAAAUUGACAGACCAAAGAUGUAAGGUUACCUUUUGAUUAGAUCGUUAGGUAGUCCUUGCUCAAUGAAAUUCCAAUCCUUGUAAACAACAGCAGACAUUUCCAAAGCAUAAUUUCCCCACAAGAAGGUUGAUUCUAUAAUACCCUCUGCAUUGACCAAGACAUUUCGUGCAAGUGCAUUUAUGUUCAUUGUGUCACGGUAGUGAGGAAGUAAAAGUUUAUGAAUAGGGUGAACCACACUAAGAUGCCUGUUUGUUGCUAUGAUGAAUGGCUCAACAACAGCGUGGGUGUUCAACCUGUCACACAUGUCGAUAUUCAUGAAUUAAUCAUAGAUAGGUUAAUUAUGUUUGAUUGUGUAUACGUGAUUAAUGAGAUUCAUACCAAUGGCUGACAAGUUGAUGAUAGCAGGAGUCAUUUACAACAACAAAAGCCUUGGCAAGGAGCCAAAUUGAAGCUUCAACACCUUCACUUGCGGGCAAGUAAACAUUGCUAACAGGACCAAAACUAUCACCUUGAGGGUGUGGCCUGCUUAGUUCAAUGGCCAGUGGCUUCAAAGUUCCAUCAUCUUGCAAGAAAAGUAUGGUUCUGGUAGCAUAGGCCUUUGUCUCGGUUGCAUUUAUUUUCCUCAAAUAUGGAAAGAGUGGGUCGUGGUGAUCAAGUAUGUACAAUCUAUUGUCUUGGAUAGCCUGUAUGACAAAAUAAAAUUUAGCUACUGUGGUUUACUUGAAUAAAAAAAAUUCAAUCAUGGAGAAAAAUAUUAAUCAAACUAAGUCCAUGAGGUGUCAACCCAGUGGUUAAAGUCGACCUUAUAACCUCAAGGGAUAGAUUUCAAAUUUUCUCCCGGACGAAAUUCACGAACGCCACUUUGGAAAAAAAUAGAACUGAUCAAAUAUGUCAUUACCUGUUCUACGGUGACCCCACCCAUGUUUGGCUCCAAGUUUUCUUUGGUUAUGGUGCUGGUAUUAUCACCAAAUUUUUGGCUAUCUAGCUUGCUCUUUGGUGGAAACUCCUGUAUUAAAUUUAGCAAGCAAUAAUGUCACCAAUUACAAAAAUAACAUAAUGUUUACAAAAUAGUCUUAGUUUUAUUUUUUUAAUUUCUUAACAAAGUUAAACUAUUAGCUUUACCGAAAGUUUUUUGAUGAUGUGUGGGUUCACCCCAGCAAUCAUCUCCCUUGCAAAUUCCUCAUCAGUCUGCCAUGCAGAAUGGUCCACUGUUCAUAUUAAGAAAUUUUCAAAAGAUCCAUUAGAUUUCUUUAUAUGAUUUUGUAUAAAUAUAUUACUGCAAGGACUAGGUAUUAUGAUUAAUAUAUACCUUGAAUCACUUUUGGUGGUGGAAACUUAAGUGCUUGUUCACCAUCAGAUCGGAAAAGUUCCUUGAACAAUGGUAUUGGACUAAUCUGGCUUAGUACAUCAGUAGGAAGCUUAAUUCCACCCUCGUAGAGAGAGCGCACAUCUUGAAAGGUGUUAAACUCAGGGUUAUUGAGUUGUAAUGUAACUACAGAUCUCAGUUGAGGUAUGACAUUUUGAGAUGCUGAUUUGAGUAUGUAAACAAGAAAGUCUGAUGACUUUGUGUGUCCAAAAGAUUCAUCUCUUGGAAGGUAAACAGUGGGACUUCGAGUCUCACUCUUAGGAUCUGUUCAAAUAUAUAAUAACAAUAUAUGUUUUAGAAACAAUACCAAAAUCUUUAGAAUCAUAAGCAGGGUAAACAUUUGGAUCAACCAAAAAAACACAUGUUUAGUCCAAAAUCUGACAGAAGUGUUUGUGGCCUAACCUGUUUUAGUUUUUCUUCUGCCAGUUCUUCCCCUUCGAGGGUAAGGGAAAUCGCUUGAUCCCCCAAGAAUUUGACGCGCCAAUUGAGGUUUCGAGUCAGGCUCACCCAAAUCAUUGUAGACAUCGUAAUCAUAUAUUCUUUCCCAUUCCUUGCGCUCUCCAGUUCCAUCUCCUCUUAAAGUCUUCAAUUCUUCUUGUCUGUAGUACACUAAUGGAGCCGGUGUUUCACUUGGAAGGUAUGUCUACAUAAAUUUAAUCAUUCAAAAUAUCAAGUUUUAGGAAAUAGGCUUAAUAUUCAGCAAGCUAUAUAGUUAUUAUGAUAAAGUGGAUUUGUGAUUUGAGACAUCAGAAAGAGAUUGGGAGUUGCAAGUUCUCAACUCCCUCUACUCGCAUUUCUAAAAACUAAUUACUAAUAUUUGUCGUUAUAAUAGAAAUAACAAGCUACAUGUGUAAUAGAAUUUUUAUUCUUACCUUGUUGGCAAAGAAGAUGCGGUCGGUUUUGUACUUUUUAGAAUUGUAAAUCCAUGAGUUGCAGACAAAGUGGAUGGAUCCAUGGUUUGGAACAUCUUCAAGUGUCAAACUCACAAGGAAGAAUUCACCUUGCAUAAAAUUAUCGAUGUAAAAAGCUCCGGGAAUUCCCAUGUUACUGUCCCAUUCAAAAUGAAUACUGAAAGCAUUUUGUUUGUCUCCCAAUGUUGGUAUGGAGGUAAGAAGACCUUCCAGAAAUGUUUCCUUUCCCACUUUUCCUUUUCCAGCAGCUAUAUUAAAAAUGUCAAAUAUUAUUAGUUUCUCAAUUUCACUAAUCCAUGAUUUUCAAAGUUUAAUUUUAUUCUUUUACAGAUCCAUUUUUCUUUUUACAUGAUCAUCAUCCAUCUUGCCUGAGUUAUAUCGAAGGGAAAUAAUUUCAAUAUUUUAGUGGUAAUUGAUUGUACCUGAUCAUUUAUAACCAAUAUUCUACAUCAAAAUCUCCAUUGCACAUUUUUAAUUUAAUAAAAAAAACAAAAGGGAAAAUAAGGUAAAUCUUAAUGGAUUGAUGUAUCAAAAACUCUUCUUGAAUAAUAGGCUGGCUUGGUGGUGUGGUGGAAGAGUUAUGGAGUAAUUAAUGCAGUCUGAGUUCAAUUCUUACAUCUAGCAAAAACUAACAACCGACAUAAUACUCAUUCGAUAUUAUUUAUAAGAAAUAAUGAAUUUUUUGAUUUAUUGAAUAAUUAAUGUAUAUGAUAUAUAUUCUAGAUCGAAUACAUAAAUUAUUCAAUGAAUCUAAAAAAUUAAUUAUUUCUUAUAAAUAGGAUUGGAUGAAGUAAUAUUUAUUGCUUAAAAAAAUAAAACUCCUCAAUAUUUUGUUGUUAAAUCAGAGAUAUCCUCCACGUGCAAAUGUCUGUCACUUAUGUUAUGUCACACAAUGUUGGUAAAAGAGUCUAAGUAAAGAGAUCAUAGAAGUAUGAAAAGAAGCAAUUUUAAAUAGAAAAAGAUAGUAGAAUUUACAAUUUUAAAAAUCUAAUAAGACAGAAGUUCAAAUAUAAAGUAUAUAGAUGGGGAUGUCAAAUUUUAAAUAGCUUAUGGUACAAGAUUAAUUUAAAAAAUUUAAGUGAGCAUGUGCACCCAUCACGUAGAUCCAUACAUACCAAAUGACAAAGAUAAAGUCCAAAACAGUUGCCAAACGCCAAAUAUCACACUUAUUUGCAUUAUAUAUACUUCUUUUUUUACAAAACCAUUAGAUAUACUCCCUUUAAUAUACAUUGGAUAUAAGUUUUUAUAUAGUCAUUUUUUAUUCCAAUAGUACUAUUUUUUCCAUAUCAUUUUAUUACUUAAUCAAAUGUCCAAAUUAUUUUAAAUAGUUACUUAAAUAAUUUCAUAAUUUCUUUAUUUUAAUUAAGAAGAGACAACGAUGAAAUUUUUGUCUGUCAAGUAAGGAUAUAGUUUUGCAGUUAAUAAAAGAAUAUAAACACAAUUUUUUUCUUUUCAUAAAUUUCAUCAAAGAAGGUAAUCAAUCUUAUUCAGAAUCCGUCGAUCAGACACUAAAUGUGAUACCUCUCUCAAUCAAGAUUCUAAAAUCAUUCUCGUCCGUUAGAUCCAAUUACUUCCAUUGGUGUACACAUAAUUUAAAUAAGUUAUAUCAAUCAAUUAAUUAAAAUGCCUAUUUCUUGUAUGAAUUAAACAUAGUGAGAAAGGUCCUCGUGAACUAGCUCAAUUGAUAGAGACAUAUAAUAUAAUAUAUGCAGGGGUUGAAGUCCGAACCCUAAACAUCCGACUUCUCCAUAUUUAAAAUGUGUGAGCUCCCGUCACUGGGUUAAUUGACAAAAAGAAAAAUAGAGUGAGAAAGAGAAAUGAGUUAUUACCAUCAGCACUUGUAGCACUAAUCAACCUGAGAGCUAUAGAACGUCCCAAGAAGGAAGUGGCAGUAUCAAGUAUAUUGCCAGCAACAUCACCAACAAUACCAAAGGCACCACCAAUGAUACCAGUAGGGCUUUUAGCAGCAGUGAGGGCGUUGAUAUCCAAAGUAUUCUUUUGCAUCAACACCACAGUUCCCUUCAACUUUUGGCCUCUAUCAAAGAGACCUGUUACACCAGAAAACAUCUUUGAAUAUGCUUUAAAUGUAUUACACUAUAUAUGGUAAAUGAAAGAAAGGCUUGUGUCUUGUAACCAUAGGGGUGGUUAGUAUUUAUAGUAGUUGAUGAGAUUAGGAUCACAAUGUUAUAGUUCAAAUGAGGUGAUAUUUUUAUUCAACUACUCAUUUACAACAUGGUGGAAUGCAAUUGGUCACGUCUUAUGCUAAUUUUUUAUUAUGAGUGAUUAUCUCGUGGUAUAUAAAAUAAUAAUAUAUCCGAUUGCAAAAUUAUUUUGGUAGUUGUUAUAUGUGCCAGCCUUGGCAUUAUGUUCAAUAAUAAUGACUCUGUUUGCUCUAUUGUUAAUUAUUACUACUAUCUUACGUGUCUGCAUUGGUUUUCUCGAGUUUUCUCAUAUUUUUUAAAGUGGGAAAAUCUCUACCCUUAAAAUUCAUUUCUUUCUUAUUUUAAUUUCAAAAUCUCUCCUCUUUUUUUUUUUUUUUUUUUUUUCUUUUUCUUUUUCUUUCUCUCAUACUAUCAAAUCAAGAUUAGGAUUGGACUUGAGAUACAUUUGCUUAGUCACAAACAUAAAAAUGAGUCAUUUAACACACACAAUGUAAUAAAAAAAAUUGAUUUGGUGUUGUGGUCUAAUUUAACACUUACUAUAUAAGUAUUUCUCCAUCCAAAGAUGGAUCCAAAAAUCUAUUAGCAAUUUUAGUUCACGGCCUAAUUUAUUCUCUUGUUUGGGAGUCUUUUGUAACAAUUUUUGUUUUUUUAUUUUGGGUUGACGGCAAGACCUUUGUCUUUUGAUGUAACUAUACUCUUUUUCCUUGUUCUUUUGGCACUUUCUGUGCUGGAAUAGCAGAUAUUUUUCAAAUAUAAGCAAUCAACGUUUGUUCUAGGGCGCUCUAUAUAUGGAUAAUGUUAUCAGCCACGUUUUUGACAUUUGCAUCAAUUUUUUUCUUUAUAAAUGAUGAAUAAGACAUGUAUUACUAAUGAUGGUUGAUAUUCCAGCUAUCAUGGAAUCCAAGUCGCCAUAGUACAAUGUUUUUAAAAUCCCAGCUAUGUUGGCAACCCAAAACAUCGUGUGUCAAAUGCGCCACAUCUUAUAUAUUAUUAAUAAUAAAAAAUACAAAAACGAAAAAAGUUGAGUUAAACUCAACAAAGCUAAUUAAAAUGAUAGGUAUGCAUACCAAACCUAUCUAAAAAAACCACUGAUAAUAAAACUAGGACAUAUAUACCACCAUUGAAAAUCUCCAAUUAGUUUACAAAUAUCAACGAAAAAACUUCUCCUUUUCCUCUUGUGACAUAGAUGAUCUCCAGUAGGUUUCUGCGUUUUUCCUCUUCAGUUUCGUGUUUUGCUGCUUGCGUUGGGGGUGUGAAAAUUAAACACUGAUGACUUGUGAAAAAAAGAAGCAUAAAGGGCUGCUGGACUAAAGUCUGAUAAUUGUUGGUCCCUCUAUUAUUUUUGUUAUAUACACCCCUCUAUAAACGAUUAUUGUUAUAUACACCCUCGUAUAAAAAAAUUAGGUCCCUAAAGGCAUGGGCCCUAGGCUGCCGCACCCCAUCCUAUAUCUAUGGCUGGCCCUGAAUGUUAUCGUUGUAAUAGAAGUGGUUUAAUAUAUAAAAUGAAAGACAUAAGGUAAAUAGGGUAAUGUUGCAUUAAAAAUGGAUGUUGGUAAGGCAUGUGGCAUUGAUAGGUCAUUUGAAAGAAAUUUUGAUGAAGAUGAGGUUAUGUCAGUAGUGAAUGAACUAGAUAAUGAUGUGUAUUAAAAUGGUGGAUUAUUCCAUUAUUGUUAACAAUGAAAUCACAUGACCAAUCAUACUCGGACGAGGCCUUCAUCGGAGAGAUUCUUUGUCUCAUUGUUUAUUCUGUGUGCAGAAGGCCUAUGUGCUCUUAUUAAGUAUGUCGAGGCUAGUGGAGAGCUUCAUGGGGUCAAAAUUUGUCGAAACACUUUGAUUAUUACUCGAAUUUUAUUUGCAGAUGACUACUUUCUAUUUUUCAGGGAAGGUGAAGCGCCGAGACUCAAAAUAUGAAGCAAAUUUUGAGGUUGUACAGAGCAACGUCUGGAUAUUACAGCUUAAAUGCCCAACAAUCCCUUCAAAAUGCUUUUACAACAACCUUAGGGGGGUCAGGCGGUGUUAUGCACAAUGAAGUACAUCGGACUACCCUCUAUGAUUGGUAGAAGAAGGAAUGUUACGUUCAGCUUUCUCAAAGAUAUGACUGGAGCAACAAGUAUUUGUGAAAGGAAGAUAUAAUGAUAAAAACAUGUACUGCAAGCAAUACCAUCUUAUGGAAUUAGAAUUUUCUUACUUUCUACCAUGUUCUUUGAUGCCAACGAAAAGAUUAUUAACACGUACGUACUGGUGGGGUCAUGGUGGUUCCACAAUUAGAGGUAUUGACUGGUUAUCAAGGGACAUGCUUGUUGUCUACAAAUUUUUUGGAGGUUUGGGGUUUAAAUACUUGACGUCAUUCAACUAAGCAAUGUUAGGAAAACAAGAUCGGAAAUUCCACACACACUUGGACUGUUUGGUAUCAAGACUGUUCAAGGCGCUCUAUUUUCCUCAUGGAAGCUAUCUAGACCGAAAGUGAUGACAGAGCACUAUAUGACAUUUUGGGCUAUGUUUUUAGUACUUUUAUUUGCAUUUGAAGACAUAUAAGUUGAGAGAUAGAGGAGUUGUUAAUGGUUUGGGAAACAUAUUGUAUUGUUUUCAAUCGAGCCGUUGUUCUUGAUGCUUGACAGUUUAAGGAACCUCUAGGGUAUGUUUUUUAAACAUCGUUGUUCCUUGAUUGAGGAACCUCUAGAUAUUUCAUGAAGUGUAAUUCCUUUAGAUGACAAUUUAAGAGUCACACGGGAUGUUGCAGUCAAAAGAUGUGAUCAUGGCUUUCAUAAUUGAGUUAUGGAUAAAACGACAUCUGUAGGAAUAUUCUCUCUAUAGUAAACCACCGUUUAUGUAAUUUUUAGGUUUUAAUUAAUAGGUACUUUGCAUUAAUCCAACAAAGAGGGAAGAGGGAAGAGGGGAUUCAAGGAUUCCCUAAUCACCGUUAUACAUCUAAAUCACACAAACAUAAUCUUUCUUUGGAUAGGGAAAUUUAACCAUGCAAAUCUUUUUUUCAUCUCUUUUCUAUUUUCUUUCUAAUAAGUUUUGCUAAUUACCGAAAAACUUGCUACUUUAUUAAUUGUUAUGAUUUGGUGCACUUGCCAAUUUCGUCCUUCAGAAAGCUUGGACAUAAAUCAAAGCUUUAGUUGGAGAAGAAUAUUUACCGCUAAGAGAGUAGUACAAAAAGUUGCUCGGUGGAAGAUCAGAUCGGGUACAAAGUUUCAAUUUUUUAUGCUUUGUGGGUAAAAGAUGGGACAAGUAUUCUAGGAGAUGGUCAACCUCUCAAGGUAAUUCAACAGGCUAAAGUGCACAAUCUCGUUGAUCAAGAAUUUCCCGUAUAGAACAAUCAUAUUGUAAACCAGUGUUUUGAUCAACUUAUAAAUGAGCUCAUUCUGAGUACUCCUUUAAUUGAGUCUGUUAAAGAAAGAUAAAUUAAUUUUUAAAUCAAAGAAAAAUGAACAUUACUCGGUAAAAAUUGUGUACAAGAUUUAUACAUAAAAUAGUGCAGGCAACUCAUAUUUAUGUCAGUAAGGUCAUUGGCUGGAAUUUAGAAGUUAAAGGUGCAUCCCAAAGUGAAGGAUUUCAUUUGGCUGAUUUAUCAAGGUUGCUUACCGACGCGUGUAAGGCUGAAAGAUCGAAGUCUCCAUUGUCUGUCUAUUUGUAUGAUGUGCACCGGUAACUAUGGGGAUGCAAUGCAUAUAUUGUUUGAUUCUCCGUAAAUAGGAUAUGUAUAUAUUUUUCUCAAGUGCAUUAAUUUUAUCAUUCAUAGCUCCAGCCCAGUUUAUAUUUUUAAAUGUUUCUUCAAUAGAUGAUUUGAUUCUCACAUAAUCAACGGCAACAAUAAAACUUUGAUUGUGUGGAAAGUUGUUUAGUGGAGACAUAUUGAGAAAUAUGUAUGAUAUCUAUAUAUAGAGGGACAGAUCGAUAACAUUUGCAAUCAUCUACAACAGGCCAUGUUACCCAAGAACAAUCAUCAAUAAAAGAAACAAACCACCUUGCCCCAUAAAUAUUAGAAACAACAAGAAAUAUUAGAAACAGGGGCCGAUCGGCAGACAUCAAAAUGAAUAAGAUCAAAUGGUUCAACACUUUUACGAAGAUUCAACGAAAAAAGUGGUAUGUGUACGCUUAUAAAAUGGAUAUAUAUAUCACAUUUAAAAGACUAAAUCGAUUGCAUUAAAAAACAAAGAUGGAAACAUAAACUUCAUUAGUUGAAAAUGAGGAUGACAAAGACGUUUGUGCUGAAGCCAAAUUUGAGAGGCAGAAUAAGACUCUGACUAAGACUGAAGUGCAGAAGACAACACCUUCUGAUCAAUUCGUGCAUCAUACAAAUAAUAUAGCCCUCCUUGUUCCUAAGCAACUCCAAUCGUCUUUCCCAUUACAAGAUCCUCGAAAGCACAAUGUGAAUCAAAAAAUAUUACUGCACAAAUAUUAUCCUUUAUAAGCUUACGAACAUAGAUAAGGUUAUUCCAAAGACAAGGAACAUGAAGCAUAUCUUUCAACUUAAAAGGUUCAAGGUUAAUUUCUCCACAACCAUCUACACGAGUAUGAGAACCAUAUGCAGCCGCAAAAAAGAAUGUCAUAUGAAGAAAUUUACUUCAAAAAGGCCAAGAACCAAUGUCAUAUGAUCAAUAGCACUAUAGUCAAUAAUAUAAUCAACAUUUCAAGCAAAAACCACAUAUAACUAUUUUCAGUCACAUUGGCUGAUAACUACAAAAGAAUCUCCUCAAAAGAACAACAAAAAGAAGAGGCUUCAAAUAACAAAAAAUAGGCAACAAGGUAAAAACCGUAAGUCGCAACAACGUAAAAUCACCAAAUAAAAGUCAAACUGAAUCACAAAGGGUCCUCAAAGAUGCUGGUAGUCACAAACAAGCACAAAACAACCGCUAUCAAUCAGUUAGUGUCAAGAGUACCCACGUAAAAUAGUAUCUUGGUCUUGGAUCAAGAUUUUGACCCCUUAAACGAACCAAUUAUGUGAAGACUAUAAUUUCUAGGAAUAAAUGGUGUCGAAUGGUGGUUCACAAGGUGGCAUGUGCAUCGCACUUGAUGGAGCUUCACUUUAGAUUGGGCCUCUGCUCUCAACUUCUCAAGUUCUUCUUCAAAAAGUAUUUGAGAACAAAUUUUUAUAGCCCUUUCGUUUAAAAAAUCUUUUUAGUUUUGCCAUAUUAGUUGAUGUAUGAUUCUUUAACUGUAUUUACAUUGGAAAAACAAUUGGCAGUGGAAAUAAAAUCAUUAUGAUCUAUUAUUGCUUUUUCAAUGUUAUCAUUUUUUUGUCAUGCUAUAUUGCAUAUUUGCAUUGAGAGCUUUUUUGUCAUGAAAUAAAAUAUGAAGUUUGCAUUUUAUAUACAAAGUAAAUCACACAACAAAAUAGAAACAUAGUAACUUUUAUUGAUGAAAUACAUUAUAACAAUCAAACAUGAUAGUUUUUAUUGAUAAAACACAUUACAGAAUUAAAAACAAACGUACAUAAUAACAUAACAUGACGAUAUACAUAGGGGGCGAGGGAAUUGGAUUCCUCCUCCUCUUUUAUUAAUAGCGACAACGCAACAACCACGACGUUUUUUAGAUAGAGACACUGUUGGGAAUGCCUCUGCAAGUCAAUCCUUCCUCACUAGAAGGAUAAAGCAGAGUGUAAGGCAUCUUCACUGGUCCGUUACGAUUCCUCAGUGUCUCAUCAUUGUUCCUUUGAAUGAGUUUUUGCUCAAUUUCAGCCAACUUCUUUCCAAACCUCUUAAAGGACUCUUUUGGCUGUGAAUCAGAAGUCCAGAGAUCACCUUCAAUUCUCUCUCCAAGGUAUUGCUCAUCAGAAGCAUGCCUUGACAAGACUUCUAUAAUGGUCAAGUCAGUAAGAGUAUCAUUCUUGGGUGUUAUUGUCCUCAGAUAAGACUUCUGGUAGUCCUUAGCAAGCUCAUCAUACUCAGGGGAUCCCUGCUCAGGCAUGAAUCUUCUACUUUUAGUUGGUCGGUUAACGAUAUAUCCUCCAUACGGAUAUUGUCCAAAAUUAACUGCUGCAUGAAGUGCUGAAGCAAUCCAUAUGAGGGUGGUGCAAGCUUCAAUCAACUCCUCACGAGUUUGCAUCUUAAACCACCAUGUAGCAUUCUUCAAGUCACCAUGACCGACCUCUACAAGUUCUUUCCAGAAUGCUUGGAGUUCAGAAUCUUGUGCAAUAGAUGCAUCUGACUUGUAGUAGAAAUUGACAUAUUCAUCAACCCAUGAUUUAAUAGCAGCCCAUAUUUCUAGUCCAUCUGAAGCAUAAGGGUAGUCCUCUAUUAGAAGUCGAAGACCAUAUGCUGAAGUAGGGUCCUCAACGGCCACUCCUCUAUAGAACAAGCAAAGGAAGAUAACAUUAACAUACAAAAAAAAAAGAUAGUUAGGAAAGUUACUUAGAGUUUGUUUGAUUGGUAGUUACUUUGUUGAUUCUCUACUAGCUCUAUACAUGGCUACAAAGUCAAACAUUUACCAUUGAACUGAAACCGUGUGGUAUUAUACUUGAGAUCAAUAUCUUUUUAAAAAACGGACUGAGUCAAGAUGUAAUGUUUUGUAAGGUUACCUUUUGAUUAGAUCAUUAGGUAGGCCUUGCUCAGUGAAAACCCAAUCCUUGUAAACGACAGAAGACAUUUCCAAAGCAUACUUUCCCCACAAGAAAGUUGACUCGAUAAUACCCUCGGCAUUGACCAACACAUUUCGUGCUAGUGCAUUUAUGUUCAUCGUGUCACGAUAAUGUGGAAGCAGAAGUUUAUGAAUAGGGUGAACCACACUUAGAUGCCUAUUUGUUGCUAUGACGAAUGGCUCAACUACAGCAUGAGUGUUCAACCUGUCACACAUUGUAGAUAAAUUUUCAUCAAAUUACUCAUAGAUGUAUAAAAUUUAUUUGAUUGUUUAAAUAUCAUAAACGAAAUUCAUACCAAUGGCUAACAAGUUGGUGAUAACAUGAAUCAUUUACAAUUACGUAAGCCUUGGCAAGGAGCCAAAUUGAAGCUUCAACACCUUCACUUGCAGGCAAGUAAACUUUGCUAACAGGACCAAAACUAUCACCUUGAGGGUGUGGCCUACUUAGUUCAAUGGCCAAUGGCUUCAAAGUUCCAUCAUCUUGCAAGAAAAGAAUGGUUCUAGUAGCAUAGGCCUUAGUCUCGGUUGCAUUUAUUUUCCUCAAAUAUGGAAAGAGUGGGUCGUGGUGAUCCAGUAUGAACAAUUUAUUAUUCUGGAUAGCCUGUUCCACAAAAUAAAAUUUAGCACUGUUGAAUUAUUUUUUUAGAGUAAAGUUGUUGAAUUGGGUAGAGAUUUACCUGUUCUACCGUGACCCCAACCAUGUUUGGCUGCAAAUGUUCUUUGGUUAUGGUGCUGGUAUUAUUACCAAAGAGUUGGGUAUCUAACUUGCUCUUUGGUGGAAACUCCUAAAAUAAAUGUACGAAGCUGUGGUUAAUUAAAACUUAUAAACAUGGCAUGAAAAGUGGGAAAAAUAGCAUUUGUUAGUUUUUCAGUAUUUUCUUAACAAUGUUAAACCAUUAACUUUACCAAGAGUUUUUUUAUGAUGUGUGGAUUCACCCCAGCAAUCAUCUCCCUUGCAAAUUCCUCAUCAGUCAUCCAUGCAGAAUGAUCGACUGUUCAAAAUUAAAAUUUCAAAAGAUCCAUGAACUUUAUUUCUCUGAUAUAUGUUAAUAGUAAUAGGAAUGUGUGACUAAUUAAUAUAAACCUUGAAUCACUUUUGGUGGUGGAAACUUAAGUGCCGCUUCACCAUCAGUUCGGAAAAGUUCCUUGAACAAUGGUAUUGGGCUAAGUUCACUUAGUAUAUCAGUAGGAAGCCUGAUUCCACCUUCAUAGAGCGAGCGCACAUCUUCAAAGGUGUUAAACUCAGGCUCAUGGAAUUGUAAUGUAACUAUAGAUCUUAAUCGAGGUAUGACAUUUUGAGAUGCAGAUUUGAGUAUGUGAACAAGAAAGUCUGAUGACUUUGUGUGUCCAAAUGAUUCAUCUCUUGGGAGGUAAACAGUGUCACUUCGACUCUCACUCUUAGGAUCUGUUCACAAAUACAAUAACAAUGUAUGUUUUAGAAUCAUAAGCAGAGUAAACAUUUGUAUCAACAAAAAGACUUAGUAAACAACAUCAGGGAUAAAAACAUUAGUUGUCAAGUAGAAUACAAUUUCACAUUUUAGUACCAUAUCACUUAAUUUUUGCCAGAAUUUCUUAAAAUAUAACAUACUCAAGUGUUAAGAUAGAACGUAAAGUUAUAACCUUUACGAGCUGCUUUCCUGCCGGUUCUCCCUCUUCGAGGGUAAGGGAGGGUGCUAGAUCCUCCAACAACAGGACGAGCCAAACUAGCGUUCUUGUCCACAUCACCCAAAUCAUUGUAGACAUCAUAAUCAUAUAUUCUUUCCCAUUCCUUACGCUCUCCAGUUCCAUCUCCUCUUAAAGUCUUCAAUUCUUCUUGUCUGUAGUAGACUAAAGGAGCUGGUGUUUCACUUGGAAGGUAUGUCUACAAAAUUGUAGUCAUUGAUUGUGUCAAGUUUUUGGAAAAGAG